GGUUUAUGUCAUUCACUGUUCUUUUAUUCAUUUUGAGGAAUGAUAAUGUGUACCACGAGUUAUAUUAGAACUAAACCCAAAUAACGAAGCACACGGGUCAUGCAUUGCGUGUAAGAACACACAUCCGCCUCGUGCAUGGAGCAACCCAUCCGCCAUCUAUUAAUUUUUAACCAUACAAAAUUACCAUUUUAACCCUAUUGUAGAGUCAUUUUCUGCACCUGAUAGCACGUGCGGUAUUUUCGUCAUCAGAAUCGAUGGUGUGAGGAGAAGCGGGGUUAAAUAUUUCACUUUCGUAAGUAUAACUUUUGAAAGUAUAGAGACCGGAAUUUUAAGGAUAGCUAACUAUACGGGAUAAUCUAUAAUUAGCCCUUAUUAUGUUGAGGAGUAAUGUUUGGCCUACCAUCAUGGGGUUGGAAGGUUGAUGAUCAUUAUGAAUUUGUUUUUUCGUCUUUGUGUACUUGUUGUGGAAAGAGAAGAUUGGAGUUUAUAAUUUUUCCAACUUAAGAGUUGAUCUCUAGAGAUCCGUUUACUAGAUGAUAUUAGGUGGACAUAAAAAAAAUGGCUAAAAUUUGAUGUCAAAAUGACCAUUAUUAUUAUUUUUUCAGCUAAUCAGGCCUCCUGCAUGGAUUGAAUGUGCACUUGGUGUAGGGUUUUGAAUAGGUUCUCUCUGUUAGAGUGUGGGAUCUUCCUGAUUGUUUUGAAUGAUCUUUAUUAUGCUUUGUCAUUGGUGUCAUAUUUUAUUUUAAUUCUUCAGUUUAUUGCUAAUUGUAUGGCUAGGGGCCUCACUUUUUUUCAUAUUCUGCCUUCAGUAUUAGAAAUUCUAAAGUUUGGGAGGUUGUUUUUUUCCUCACGUUUUAUUCACAUAAAUUAACUUGUCUCCGCGUGUUUCUUUGUAUCUAUAUGAGUAAUUGUCUAUUGUGAUUAAACCUGGUGGGUUAUAAAAUUUUUGGUACGAAUUUGCAUUCCAAUCAAGGUUUAAGAAGAUUAGACAAGCUUGCGAGAUUCAUAUUUUUGAGUUUCAUGGUAUUAUCUAAUAUUAGCUCUCUUUAUGAGGAUCUUCUGAGAGAUAACAAGAGAUGAUAUUUGAGGAUUCUUUUAUAAGCUAACAAUUUAUGAAAAAUCUCUUAACUAACUAAAAAACUAUUUUGGUUUAAUGUGGAUGUUUUUUAUGCAACUGAACAAUUUCUUAUAUUACAUGUUGUCAUGAUGUCUGACAUGGAGGCGAAGUGGUUGUGAAGCCAAUCAUGCCUUUCUGUCUCCUAUUCAGUAAAGAGCAAGUUUGGGUUAUACACCAUAGUUAGAAUGAUUCUGCAGACAUGGGAUUCUGAUGCUAUUCUUGCUGGGUUUGGGUCAAAGGUGAGUUAGGGUGAAAUUUACAUUUACAUUGUGAAACAAGAACCUUUUUUAGAGGACUUCCGUUUUUAAGGCUUCUCAUUUGAAUUAGCAAAAGUUAAGCUAUAAGGAUACUGGGGCUCAAGGGAAUUGGACAUGGAAUGAAAAUAAACAAAUAAAGAAUAAUACUUGAUGUAAACAUGCCUGAUUCGUAGGAAAAAGAAGUCAAUCAUAAAAAGAAGAUUUGGUUGAAGUAAAUCCUCCCAACGUUGUUUUGGUUGGUUCUAGAAGUGGCUUCCCUUGUCGUCAAUGUAGUUGGAAACAUUGCUCUCCACUGACACCAAAUGUUUAGCAGUUUGGGAAGGUAAAUGAAGAUAUUGAUCAUCAAGGGCAUUGAGUGGAUUGUUGAUGUGUUACUUGUAGACUGGUAAAUAUAAGUAGAAAGACAAGUUAAAUAUUGUAAUGGCUUUGAAAAGCAGGAUGUAGUAUAGGGUUUAUAUAAAGGUGUAAAAGAUAGGAAAUGGGUGCUUAUCUUGGAGAUGCUCAAAAUCCAGACCGACUUACUUUAGGAGAAGAAGAGAAUCUUACACCACUCGCACAUAGUAUUGAAAGUUCAUUGAGUUGUAAUUUUUUUCUAGUACUCCUUUUACAUAGAUCUCGCAUACAAGAAAAAGAGUAACCAGACAAAUUUAUUACUUGAAAGAAUAAUGGAAUCAAUCAUCCCAUCUUUAUUUCUGGCAAAUUUCUUUUGCCUCCAAAUUUUCAUUGAGAGAGAAUCUUCCUAUUAGCAAGAUCUUCAUUUGGAUUAUUUGCACUAAAGUAUCCGGGAAUAAUAUUAUGUAGACCUUUCAUUGUAUGGUGUCAUAUGCGAAUCAAGUUUGUUGUUAAUCCAAUCAUAGCAAUGCAGACCUGGCAAUUUAUUUCCUAUUACUUCUUAUCAUGCACCCAUAUAUAUCAUCAGCAUGUUAUCCCUGAAAUAUGUCAUAUGUUCCAGGAUUCAUCACCUGAAGAUUGUUUGAUUUUGUGCUAUUAUGAUCUGUAAUACACAAUUAAUGGGCUUGAAAAAAAAAAAAAGAAUUGGAAGCAUGAAUUAUCGCACUACCUUUUUUGAUGAAUAUUAGCAACCAGUAAAAUCCUUUGUCUGUUUGUUGUUUUUCUUUCUCUUCUCUUUUAUCUUGGGAAUGCUCAGAUUCGUUUUUGAUUGCUUUAAUUCUGCUUGGACAAACUCUUCAUGGCUAAAGUUUGCUAUGUUGUGUUGGUGGAUACAGAACAGCCGGGAUCAGAACACAAAGGUUCGCCCGGAUGCUGUAAAUGAUGAGUUCAAACCGUACCGUUACCACACUAUCAUGAACUGUGCUCAUGCCUGCCCCAUGGGACUGAGCCCCGCGAAGCAAAUUGAAUAUAGAUCAAAAAGCUUCAGCUUCAUUAAAUUUUUCCUGAGAUGCCAUUUGUUGCUUUGAAGAGGCAGCAUCUGCCAUUUAGUUAUUUUAUUUUUGCAUCAAUGAACAUUCACGGAUUGGUGAUGUCCUUGCAACUCUUAGUAUCCAAUUGUGCUCAUCAAUACUGACCUGAAACUUGUCUAUUUUUAGGAUGAUAUAAUUGUUGCAGCAAUUUCUACGGUCGAGGUUUGUUUAUGUGACUAGUUGGUUAAAUUGUCUAAUGGACUGUUGUUUGAUUUGAAUUAAGUUGGUGAUUGAAUUUGGUGUUACUGAAUCUGUAGAAUACCCAUUUUAUGGAAUUAUAGGCUCUUAUAUUGUCUUUUGGACUGUUACUCAAUAUGAAUUAUAUUGGUAAAUGAGUUUGAUGUUAUUGAAUGUGUAGAACGUGUAUCCAUGUUAAGAGUGUUAAAACACACCAUAUGAUAAGUUAUCUUUUGUUUUCAUCAAUAUAACCGUGAGAGCUCAUGAGAAAUUAUCUUUUUAAGAUGUGUUCUACACGAUUUUAUUUACCCCUUUUAAAAGGUGGAUUCCAAAAAAUACCUCUCCGGAUAGAGGUGAUAUUGAUCCUUGUGAAUAGAGACUAUAGUCGAUCCUCUCAGGAUAGAUAAUACAUUUAUUCAUCUCUAUUUCGAUCAAUAUCUAAUUAAUAUUUAAACCAUAUGGAUUUGAGCUUAACUCAUUCAACACUAUCUUUUAUUUGUUGACAUUCUAUAUCUUUCAAGAAUUUGGUAUACAUGCCAGCCAUGAAUAAUUUGGAAUGUACCGAGAAUGGCUUUGAGUACAGAAACAUUGCAUUGCCAUUCUAGCCAUAUAUAUACAUACAUUAUUAUUAUUAUUAUUAUUAUUAUUAUUAUUAUUAUUAUUAUUACCCACGUCACACACACCACUAUGCCAAUUGACAUUUCUAAAAUUGCGUACAUUUUAAAUUAUCUUUUAUUUAGUAAAUGUCGACUUUCUUGUUUUAAUUUUGUGUUGACUAUACUUUACUUAUUUUCAAAUAUUAAAUAUAAAUAUAAUUAUGAUCCUUGGUAAUAUGAUACGGGAGACUCGAUAGAUGCAGUGCAUUCCCAACAUUGAUAACGGUAGCAAUCAUAUUAAUCUCAUCAAUCUUAAUAUCAAGUGUUAUUUAAAUUUAAUAAUUAUUAACUAUUUUUAAAUUUUAUAAAUAUAAAUUUUAAUAAGAUUUUUAAUUUUAUUGAAUCAUAAAAAUAUGAGGUGUCAACUCUUAAUUGACUUGAACAAUAACUUAAAAUGAUCCGAUUGAGAAACGACAUCAAGAUCCAGAAUUAUCCCAAGAAAAUCUAAUUGAAAUUGAAUUAGUCCAAUUUUGAUUAUAUAUAUAUAUAUAUAUAUAUAUAUAUAUAAAUAAUUCCACGUAGCCAUAGUUUGCCAUUUGUGAGUGAUGUAUUUGCUGUAAAUAAAAAUAAUAAAAAAUUUUCAAAGUGCUCAAUGUGGUCGGUUAGCUUGAAAGCAUCACUUUUACAUUUGAUACUUUUACAAGAGACAAAAAAAAAAAAAAAAAAAGCUUGAUGAGACCUGCAUGUCAAAAAAAUAUUUAAAUUAUCUAAUGUAAUUAAAGUAUCCCAUUUAGGCAUCAUAAUUUUACUUUUGAUAAAAAAGUAACUAAUGUGUUUAAGAUGAACAAAACAUCCUUUUUACACAUGAUGUAUGCGUCUUGAGAAAGAAGUAUCUAGAACAUCUUAGGCAAUCAUAACAUCCUCUAUACACCUAAUGCAUCCACCUAAGACAAAGAUGAAUCCACCUAAGACAAAGAAGUAUUUGAAGCCUUUAAUAGUAUCAAAGUAUCCCUUUGUGCAUGAUGCGUCUACUCAAGACCAAAAAAAAGAAUUUAAAGAAUAUUCAUGAUUAAAAUGUCACCUUAGAUAUGAUUAAAGUAUCAUCUUUCGUGCAAGAUACAUCCAGUUAUGAGAACAAAGGUAUCAUAGCUCCUAAUAUGAUAAAUGCAUCCCUUUAUGUGAGAUGUGUUUGCCUUCGACAAAAAAAAAACCUAAAUCUUCUAAUGCAAAUACAAAUAAAGCAUUCUUGGUACCUUGAUGUAAAAUCAUCUUAUAUGACUUACACGAUUAAAAUAUCCCCUUCUACUUGCUAUAUUACCAUAGGACAAGAAAUAAUACCACUUAAUAAUCUUAGAAUUCAAAUAAUAGGUCCCAAAAUCUAUACUGUGCUAUAUGAUAAAUAAGCUUCUACCUCAAGUACGAGGGCAAAUGAUAUAACUAUUAUAUUUAGUCAAUUAUAACAUGACAUAUAGAUUCUAACCCACGCAUCCUGAAUAUAUUAAAUAUUUAAACAACCUAAUAUAUAUGCUAUAUUAGCAUAUUAUAUAAAUGAGAGUAACUCACUAUAUAAGGCAACCUCUAUAAGGCUAUUGAUUUUGUGUUGGAGUUAACUUGGGAAUAAGAAAACUAUAAAUAUAGAGAAAGGGAGGGCAGCGAAUCCUUGUCUUCACCAUGGCCGACUGGUCCAAUCUUCACCAAGAUGUCCUAAACCUCAUCGUCUCUGAGCUCUCCCUACACGAUCUCCUCUGUUGCACCAUUGUAUGUGGCACAUGGUUACGCACCAUUCGUGAUCUUCGUCGAUACUGCUCCAAGCUUUGCCACCAAAGCCCUUGGCUCGCAUUUAGUGGUAGCGGUGAUGACAUAGGUAGUGCCACUGAUGACCCCUCCGCUGCCCACUUCUUUAGCCUCUCAGAGCAGAAGGUGUACACCAUCCCCCUCCCACAACCUCCGAUUCGUAAUCGCCUCUUUUUGGGUUCCUCCUAUGGGUGGUUGAUCACCAUCGAUGAGUGUUUCAAGGUGCAACUAUUGAACCCCAUUAGUGGUGCACAGAUCAACCUCCCCUUCAUCCUCACACUCGAUAACAUCGGAUCCUUCCGCGACAUAUGGGGGCGCAUAAGAGGCGAUGUCAAUGAUCUCAUCCAUAACCAAUAUCCAGGGGAAGGGAUUCCUAAGCUCAAGUUCAAGGCCAUGCUAUCGUCAGACCCCUCACGAGGAGACUAUAUUGUUACACUCAUCCACUACCCCUAUGGGGGCAUCUCCAUUGCUAGAUCUAAUGACAAUAAGUGGACGACGAUGUCAUUUCCUGAUUUCUAUGAAGAUGCCAUCUUCUAUAAAGACCAACUCUAUGCAACAUUUUAUGGAAGGAUAGACAUUUGGGAUGAUCUCAAUCAAGAGUGGAAGAUGGUGGUGCCUGAGCCGGAGGUGGAUGAAAUUGAGCCCUUCAACAUUCCAUUUUGGUUGCUAGUUCAGACUCCCACGUGUGAUCUCCUCCAAGUUCGGGGGAACAUAGUCCCAAUAGCGCAGCAUGAUAAUACUAAAAUUGAAGUUCCACUUAUGAUAGUUGAUAGAUUGGACAUCAAAAAUGGCACCUCCUUACAGGUCAAUAUCUCAUAUACAUAUCUCUCUAUCUUGAUAUUAUAUAUAUACAUAUAUAUAUAUAUAUAUAUAUAUAUAUAUAUAUAUAUAUAUAUAUAUAUAUAUUNNNNNNNNNNNNNNNNNNNNNNNNNNNNNNNNNNNNNNNNNNNNNNNNNNNNNNNNNNNNNNNNNNNNNNNNNNNNNNNNNNNNNNNNNNNNNNNNNNNNNNNNNNNNNNNNNNNNNNNNNNNNNNNNNNNNNNNNNNNNNNNNNNNNNNNNNNNNNNNNNNNNNNNNNNNNNNNNNNNNNNNNNNNNNNNNNNNNNNNNNNNNNNNNNNNNNNNNNNNNNNNNNNNNNNNNNNNNNNNNNNNNNNNNNNNNNNNNNNNNNNNNNNNNNNNNNNNNNNNNNNNNNNNNNNNNNNNNNNNNNNNNNNNNNNNNNNNNNNNNNNNNNNNNNNNNNNNNNNNNNNNNNNNNNNNNNNNNNNNNNNNNNNNNNNNNNNNNNNNNNNNNNNNNNNNNNNNNNNNNNNNNNNNNNNNNNNNNNNNNNNNNNNNNNNNNNNNNNNNNNNNNNNNNNNNNNNNNNNNNNNNNNNNNNNNNNNNNNNNNNNNNNNNNNNNNNNNNNNNNNNNNNNNNNNNNNNNNNNNNNNNNNNNNNNNNNNNNNNNNNNNNNNNNNNNNNNNNNNNNNNNNNNNNNNNNNNNNNNNNNNNNNNNNNNNNNNNNNNNNNNNNNNNNNNNNNNNNNNNNNNNNNNNNNNNNNNNNNNNNNNNNNNNNNNNNNNNNNNNNNNNNNNNNNNNNNNNNNNNNNNNNNNNNNNNNNNNNNNNNNNNNNNNNNNNNNNNNNNNNNNNNNNNNNNNNNNNNNNNNNNNNNNNNNNNNNNNNNNNNNNNNNNNNNNNNNNNNNNNNNNNNNNNNNNNNNNNNNNNNNNNNNNNNNNNNNNNNNNNNNNNNNNNNNNNNNNNNNNNNNNNNNNNNNNNNNNNNNNNNNNNNNNNNNNNNNNNNNNNNNNNNNNNNNNNNNNNNNNNNNNNNNNNNNNNNNNNNNNNNNNNNNNNNNNNNNNNNNNNNNNNNNNNNNNNNNNNNNNNNNNNNNNNNNNNNNNNNNNNNNNNNNNNNNNNNNNNNNNNNNNNNNNNNNNNNNNNNNNNNNNNNNNNNNNNNNNNNNNNNNNNNNNNNNNNNNNNNNNNNNNNNNNNNNNNNNNNNNNNNNNNNNNNNNNNNNNNNNNNNNNNNNNNNNNNNNNNAUAUUAUAUAUAUACAUAUAUAUAUAUAUAUAUAUAUAUAUAUAUAUAUAUAUAUAUAUAUAUAUAUAUAUCUUAAAUUUUUAGAAUCAUUGAAUCUAUCCGCCUUGCAGCAUAAACUUUGGAUAUAGUUUCAUGAAACUUUAGGAAUAGUUGGCCAUCUAAAUAAAAUUUUUAUCAUGCUAGACUUUGGACCUUUCUGAUAUCAAACUUGAUUAUUUUGAUAAAACAGGUGAAGAAUUUGGGAGAAUAUGCGCUCUUUUUAUGCAACAACCAAUCUCUUUGUCUCUCUUGUAAAGACUUACCUGAGUUGAAACCAAACCACAUCUAUUUCACCAAUGACUUCUGGUGGUUGAAUAAUAACUGGUGGUGGAAAGAUCAUGUAAAGAAAUGCCGGGAUCUAAUCGUCUAUGACUUGGAGAACGAAACCCUCUCAUAUAUUUUGUACUCUGAUGCUCGUCUAAACAUGCCACCUCCUAUUUGGAUCACUCCCAGUCCUCUGCUUAAUGACUGAUAGGUGAGUCAAAUUUGUUCUUUCAUCUUGGAUCAUGGGCUAGGUCUGCUUAAAGGAUAUUGCACACUUUUUUGUUCUUUCGUCUUGAUGCUCAUUUAGUUUCUUUAUUUCUCAUGUAAUUUAGGGGUUUAAGAAUUCUCUUGGAGACGCAAAAGAACAUGCCAUCAGUAACUUCUCUCUCUCUCUCUCUCUUUCUCUCUCAUAUGCAGUUUCUUCUUCCUCCUCCGGAAGAAGCCAAUGAUAUCUAUAUGUACAAGCGAGUCACAGAAUCUUUUGCUUUCGAUCAUUCUCGUCUCUGAUCGGUUUGCCCACACCGAGGUGGAUGGCUUCGCUCUCUAAGGUCUGUCUGGUGGGAUGGGUUAUGGCCUUGAGCUUCUCCUCAAGAAUUAUUCUUAUUCUGUUUCAAGUCUUGUGUAAUAUGAAUCCUGAUCAGAUUAUGUGUAUGUUUUGUUCGGAGCCUGCUUUAUCUGAUGUGUUUAUAUCAAUGUUGGUUUUGGUUGUUCCAUAUCUAACAAUCCAACAUCUCCUUGCACAACUCGAAGAUGUAUAAUUCAUUGUAUGUAAAAAAGAAGUUUGCACUGCUUCAAAGGGAUUGCCAUUUUCAUCACUUCAAAAUAUAAAGAUUCAUUCAUAAGUGAGAUGAUGAAACUUCAUUUGUUCUCUCGACGUAUGAUAAGAUAUCUGAGGCCUUUUGGACCUCGUGAUCUUGUCAUCUAAUGAGUCAUCAUUGAUCCCCCAAGAAAUUAUCUACUGUGGAAUCUCCGCAUGCUUUUAUCCUACUGAGAUGAUGAAACAUGAUCUACUACAAUGGGCCAACCUUAAGUGGUUCUAACAGGGAACAUGUGGCAGGCCCACUCAACCGCCACGUGCGCACAGCAAGCCCACAAUCCAUAUUAUAAACUUUGACCAAGUAAAAUACAACAUUUUUUUUCAUGAAAUCAUUUAUUUUGAUUAAUGAUUAGCACUGUCACAUUUGAAUGAUGAUUUAGGAAGAUCUUCUAAUUAGUUACUCAAGUUACCUGAUAUUCUACCACACUUAUUAGUCGGAGGUGGACUAUUGUGGGUUCCACUUGGGCUCCAUCUGUAGUGGAACAGCGGGUGCGCGUAAAAUCUUUACGCAGUGGAACCCUCUUCUGUUAAACCAUUAACAUGAUGCCACGUGUAAUAAUAUUCAUUUGUGGAACCCAAUAACUCCACUCCUCUAAAAGCCGCCUUCUUCCGAUUUUUAUUAAAAAAGGUUGUUCCACGACUGAAGAUCCUCGCAAAUGUACCUGUUUUUUUUUUCCUUAAAAAGCUGAGCCCGAAUACUGACUAGAUAUAGCAAUCUAUGAUAAUAGAUUGGCAUCAUAUGACGAUUUAUGAUAAUAUUUUUACUCAUGUCUAAAAUAAUAAUUAUAUUUUAAAAACGUAACAUAUAAGUCCCUCCCGUCAUGACCAGAUAUGGCGAUCUAUGACAUUAGAGUCUCCUUACAACAUAUGUUGACUCGUAAUAAACUAUUAAUAUAAUGAUAUAUAAUUUAAAUUUUAAAAAAUUGAUAAUAGGCAGAUUUAGAACAUGGACCGACCACCUAAUCAAGUUCCUUCAAAAUGAGCAUUUCCACAAUCUAGUAGGCGACACGCUUAGCCUUGCCUCGACAUCUGUUAUAGAGGUAGAAGCCUCUUAGCACCUACGAUGGCCGAAAAAUCCAUAAUAGAGAGCCAAUCCCCCGAGCGUAAAGAGGAAACCACCAGUCACAUUACGCACUUCAACAUCCGAAACUUCUCCUCUAUCAUGCCUUGGCUCAUGUCUUAUUGGGAAAUCUUUAAGGGCGACAUCACAUACGCAGCGGAAGAACAGAAAAAUAAAAUAUGUGUUUGUCGUUGUGCGAAGAUUGGUGUGCAAAAUCCAUAAAACUUAAAACUGCACAUAAGAUAGAUUGUAUUAAAUAGGGAGAUCGUAUAUCCCUGAAUAAUUCCCUCAUGGAGGUGACCUAGCCUAUAAUGUCAUAGGUAUACACUGUUCACAUCAUCUCAUCUCCUCUUAGACACACUUACAUUCAUUAUAUACGGAUCAUUGUCUAGCAUAAACAAAUCAUUAUGCAAUAUUCUUCUCGCGAAUCUAUAAGGCUUUGUCAAAAUCUGUAAUAAAUUGCAGAUGUGAUAAGCACUGUCGGUAUCCAAUACUCAUGCAGUAUCAUAAGAAUCUGACAAUUGGAGACUGAUCAUGAAUGUACCUGAAACUUCUCCAAGCUUCUGUUUCGCUCUCUUUACAAGGUACUAUUUGUAGUUCCUCUUCCAGUACUCAUCUUUACCACAAUGGAAGCACUGGCCUUUGUCCAUUGCUGGGUCAUUCUUAGCAAUCUUUGUUUUACCUAAUCUGCCCUUUCCCUUCUUAAAGGACUUUUCUGCUUUUUUUUUUGUUUUUUUUUUUCUGUCUCACUAGUAUAAAGAACUGACUUCUCUUUUUUAAUAGUGCUCUCUGCCUCCCUCAACAUAUUGAGGAGCUCAAGGAGAGUCACCUCAAGCUUGUUUAUGUUGGGAAAUCUUAGGGGGGCGGCAUCAUAUGCGCAGCAGAAGAACAGAAAAUAAAAUCCCCAAUUCCUAAAGAUAUGUUCACCGUCGUGUAAAGAUUGGUGUAUAAAAUCCGCUAAACAGAAAAUCAUGUGUGAGAUAGAUUAUGUUACUAAGGGAGAUCGUAUAUCCCUGAAUUCCUACAUAUCUCCAAGAGAGGGCGAAGGAGGUCAAGCGCCCUCCUCUCUAGCGGUGGUCCAUACAGUAGGGCUGCGAUGACGCUCCUCAAAACUCCAAGCCUACUCUAAGGUGGAGAGAGGGAGGAGAAUAGGAGAGGCAACCAAAAAGCUCUAGCCUAUAAACCACUAGCUCUCUUCUAUUUAUAGAGGUCCUAUGUCAACUUAACCGUAAUGGAUCCUGCCCUAUUGGGUAUUGGAUCUCCAUCUAACUACACAAAUCUCUUAGAUUAAUGGAUCUCUAUCGAAUAAUCUCUCAUGAACUCUUAUUGGAUCUCAUUCAUAGGAUCCAAUAAUUUAGGGACUUAUUAGAUAUCCAAUAAGAUAGGGGCUCUAGCGAAUAUCUCAUAUCCGAACCUCUACUCAUCGCAAUACUUACCAUAUGUGUGUGACCCUCUAGGCCCAAUAUUUAGCUGGUCAUGAGUCAUACCUAUCAGAACUCCUUAUGGUUCAAUGAAUUAUUAUCUUCAUAAUAAUUCACUCGACUCAUCGACUACGGACGUACUAGGCCACUAUGCCACAGUCCCUAGACGAUACAAAAGAAUCCAAUCCACUCGACAUGUCUGACCUUAGUUACCAUGUACAUAUAGUCUCUCAUCCAUCUAAUAUCCCAGAUAUCAUAUACCGGUCAUGGUGCUGUCAGACCCAUAUGGUUUCUACUCGAGUCUCGCUUUAAUCGGAUUCUCCUAGAAAACCUUUUCUCUCUUAAUCCGAAUGACCCUGGCCAGGGAUUUGUCAUAGCAAAAACACAUGGGGGCGGGGUGGUGGGGGUGAAUUAGUAUAGCGAAAAUUUUCGACGAUUUAAAACGACGUUCGUACGAUAAAAAACGUCUUCGAUGAAAAAUCAUUUCGGAAAGUUCUUCAACUUAAGAUCAAAGGAAAGUAUAGUUGAAGUAAAGCAAUGGAGGUAGUUUGCAGUUUAAAAUAGAAAGCUGAAUGUAAAUGCAAACCGAGAUUUAGAGUGGUUCGGUCAAUCUUGACCUACAUCCACUUUUGGCUUCCUCCUCCGAUGAGGUCACCGAUGUCCACUAGAGGCCUUCCUUCAAUAGGCAAAGGUCAAUCACCUUUUACAUCCCUCUUCUCCUUCUACUGGGUUUAGGAGACAACCCUUACAAGCACUCACUCUGCUCUCUAAAUAGAACUCUAACACUUAGACUCAAAGAGGAGGAUUCACAAGAGAUUGCAACAGCUUUUUCUUGCUUUUAAUCACUCUGUGCUUAUGCGUUUUAACCAGAGAUGAGAGGGGUAUUUAUAGGCUUCAAGUUGAUUCAAACUUGGAGCCUAAAUACUUCUCAUCCCGGGUUUCCUGGGCACGGGCGGGACCACCGCCCAGUGUCAGUCUGACGUUGACACUGCCUGGGCGGUACCACCGCCCAGAUCUGUGGUACCAUCGCUUGAGGCAUAGUGCUGGGUGGUACCACCGCCUGGCACCUUACCAGCGCAGUACAACCGCCCAUACUAACGGUACCACUGCCUGAUAUAGUCUCGAAGAUUGUGCCACGACGGUGAGUCUUCUUGGGGCACUAUUUGGGCCUCUUAUUGGGCCCAACAUAGUUCUUACAUGGGCUUAGCUGGCCCCUAAUUGGGUUAGCCCAAAUCCAAGCCCAAUUACAUGCUAACUACGAUUCCUAAGACAUAUUUCUAAGCUAAGUCUGUAAGUCUUGGUUCUUCCAGCGAGCUUUCGGCGAUCUUCCGGUGAACUUCUGACAAUCUCUCAGCAAUGUUCCGAUGGACUUCUGGCAAGCUCCUGGACUUCACAACGAUCUUCUUGGUGAGUUCCGAUGAGCUUCUCUAGCAAGCGCCGUGACUUCUCGGCUAGUUCCGCCAGAACUUCCGACGAACGUCCGGACUUCUGACAAACUCUCGAACUCCCAACGUAAUCGCAUCCUUAACUCCGAGACUUCAUUUUGCUUCAUGCCUUGCUGUCAUAGUUAAUCCUGCACAUGUAAAACAUACUUCGAUCUAGACAAUUAAUCCUAAGCAAUAAUCAAGUUGUCCGGCCUAUCAUUAGUCCCUCGACGCUUCGUUCGAUUCUUCGGCGCAUCGUCCUCUCUUGCGGCCUAUUGCCUAAUCGGCCAGUUGACUCCGCAACUCCGAUAUCCUUGGUGCAAUUCCCGCUCUUCUUGGCCCGAUGCUCGAAUCCAAGCCUUCUGUCGAUACGUCGACCAUUCCACCGGCCCGACAUCCAAUCUUUUGACAUGUUUUCCCCCAACACAACAUGAUUCUUCAUGCUUUAAUUGUCUCAGCCUAAUCGAAGCAUCACUCAAAAUAAAGAUUAAAUCAUAAACACAUAUCAAAUGGUUUCAUCAUCAAAAUAUGAGAUUCAACACUAUCGACACUCAAUAGCCCUCGUAAGGUUAACUACCACUCUUGGUGACCGGUUGUGCUAGAUCUGGGAUAUCCUAACCUAUAAGUCCGGUAUCAAAGAGUGGAGCACUCAUACAGGACAUCCUUGGUAUCUCAAGUCUAAGGACAAAUUACACCACUGGGACUACGGAAUCGUUGUCUGACAAUAAGGCAUCAUUAACCAUUCAGCAUUCCGUAAGUAAAUCAAUCAGUGAAUUCAUUCCCCGAUGAGCACCUCUAUUGUAUCCCUGGUGUCCCCACAUGAGUAGCUAUAAAGACCAACUACAUCCAUCAUAUGGACGUGUAUACAAUACACUAGUCUAUUCGGUUAUCUUGAUGUCUCUCUCGAGUAACUUAUGACAGAGAUUAUUUAGGAUAUGUGAUUAAAGGCGAAUCGAUCUCAUUAUCGUGAUCUCAUCACGUGAUUGGCUUGCAGGACACAUAUGACUAGCAUUUUAUAUUAAAAUUCAUUAUGAACUGUGAAAAGGAAUCUAGUAGGAACUUAUGCACAAUAUCCACAUGCAAGUUGUCCUCUAGAACCAUUUCUAAACAUAUAUAUAUAUAUAUAUAUAUAUAUAUAUAUAUAUAUAUAUAUAUAUAUANNNNNNNNNNNNNNNNNNNNNNNNNNNNNNNNNNNNNNNNNNNNNNNNNNNNNNNNNNNNNNNNNNNNNNNNNNNNNNNNNNNNNNNNNNNNNNNNNNNNNNNNNNNNNNNNNNNNNNNNNNNNNNNNNNNNNNNNNNNNNNNNNNNNNNNNNNNNNNNNNNNNNNNNNNNNNNNNNNNNNNNNNNNNNNNNNNNNNNNNNNNNAUAUAUAUAUAUAUAUGUAUGUAUAUAUAUAUAUAUGUAUAUAUAUAUAUACAUAUAUAUAUAUAUAUACAUAUAUAUAUAUAUAUGUAUAUAUAUAUAUAUGUAUAUAUAUAUACAUAUAUAUGUAUAUAUAUAUAUAUAUGUAUAUAUAUAUACAUAUAUAUGUAUAUGCUUUCGAUAUAUAUAUAUAUAUAUAUAUAUAUAUGUAUGUAUGUAUAUUUAUUACUUUAUGUGAGAUGUAUUUGCUUUCGAUAAAAAAAAACCUAAAUCUUCUAAUGCAAAUGCAAAUAAAGCAUUCUUGGUACCUUGACAUGAUGUAAAAACAUCUGAUAUGACGUACACGACUAAAAUAUCCUCUUCUACUUACUAUAUUAGCAUAGGACAAGAAAUAAUACCAUUAAUAAUCUUAGAAUAUAAGUAAUAGGUCCCAAAAUCUAUAUUGUGCUCUAUGAUAGAUAAGCUUAUACCCCCGGUACAAGGGCAAAUGAUAUAAUCAUUAUAUUUAGUCAAUUAUAACAUGACAUAUGGAUUCUAACCAAUGCAUCCUGAAUAUGCCACGUUAAAUUUUUAAACAACCUAAUAGAUAUACUAUAUUAGCAUAUUAUCUAAAUGAGAGUAACUCACUAUAUAAGGCAACCUCUACCGGUCCUAAUAGAUAUACUAUAUUAGCAUAUUAUCUAAAUGAGAGUAACUCACUAUAUAAGUCAACCUCUACAUGGUUAUUGAUUUUGUGUUGGAGUUGACUUGGGAAUGAGAAAAUUAUAAAUAUAUAGAAAGGGAGAGCAGUGAAUCCUUGUCUUCACUCAUUGUCUUCACCAUAUUAUGGCCAACUGGUCCAAUCUUCACCAAGAUGUCCUAAACCUCAUCUUCUCUGAGCUCUCCCUACAUGAUCUCCUCUGUUGCACCGUUGUAUGUGGUGCAUGGUUACGCACCAUCCGCGAUCUUCGUCGAUACUGCACCAAGCUUCGUCAUCAAAGCCCUUGGCUCGCAUUUAGUGGUAGCAGCGACGACAUAGGUAGUGCCACUGAUGACCCCUCCGCUGCCCACUUCUUUAGCCUCUCAGAGCAGAAGGUGUACACAAUCCCCCUCCCACAACCUCCGAUUCGUUAUUGCCUCUUUGUGGGUUCCUCCCAUGGGUGGCUGAUCACCAUCGAUGAGUGGUUCAAGAUGCGACUAUUGAACCCCAUCAAUGGUGCACAGAUCAACAUCCCUUUCAUCCUCACACUCGAUCACAUCGUACCCUUUCGUGACCCAUGGGGGCAUAUAAGAGGCGCCAUCAAUAACAUCCUCCAUAACCAACAUCCGGUCGAAGAGAUUCCUAAGGUCAACUUCAAGGCCAUGCUAUCGUCAGACCCCUCACAAGGAGACUACAUCGUUACACUCAUCCAUUGCCCCUAUGGGGGCAUCUCCUUUGCUAGAUCUAAUGACAACAAGUGGGCGACGAUGUCAUUGCCUGGUCUCUAUGAUGAUGCUAUCUUCUAUAGGGACCAACUCUAUGCGACAUUUGAUGGAAGGGUAGACAUUUGGGAUGACCUUAAUCAAGAGUGGAAGACGGUGGUGCCUCAGCCAGAGUUGGUUGAUAUUUACCCCUUCCACAUUUCAUUUUGGUCACUGGUUCAUACUCCCUCAUGUGAUCUCCUUCAUGUUUGGGGGAAGAUAGUCCCAAUGGUGGAGCAUAAUGAUGAUAUUGAAACUCCACUUAUGAUAGUUUAUAGAUUGGACAUCCACAAUGGCACAUCUGUACAGGUCAAUGUCUUAUAUACAUAUCUCUUUAUCUUGACUAUAUAUAUAUAUAACAUAAAAGAUACAUUAAAUUUUUAUAUAAGAAUCAAACCAUAACUUUUAGGUUUUCUUCCUUGAAUCCUUCUCAUAUUAUAAUUUCUUAUUUUUGACGCUUGCUUUAGUAAUCCUUGAUACUUAACAAUUCCAACCAUUUCAAAAUAUUUUUUGUCUAGAAAUAAAUAAACUUAUUAUCUUUGUCUUCUUUUGUGACUCCAAUAAAGAAUAAAUUUAUUAUCCUUAUUAAAUCUCAUACCACUUAUUAGGAAUAAAAAAAAAUAAAGCAAAACAAAAGGAAAGCAUGUGGAUACAUAUUGAAUAAUAAUAAAUAUACCAAAAAAUCGAUAUAAGAUUAAUGUGAUUAGAUACAUCUCACUUUAUAAAACUUAAUUAUUCAAUAUGUGAGAUCAAUUGCAAUACAGUUGACUUAUCUCAAAUAUAAAAACUAUUAUACAUAUCUCAGAUAAAAAAAAUUAUAUGUUUUUUCUUACACUCUAGAGAGAAACCCAAGAGUACCCAAGUAUUCAUCACAUUUUGUUCUCUAAAUAAUCUAGAAAGAAACUCAAAAGCACCUUAGUAUUUCUCACAUUAAAAUAAAGGAAGUAAAUCUGAAUUUUCAGAAAUUCCUUAUUCUCCUAGUAAACUUGGUUCAAAUAUAUAUAUAUAUAUAUAUAUAUAUAUAUAUAUAUAUAUAUAUAUAUAUAUAUAUAUAUAUANNNNNNNNNNNNNNNNNNNNAUCAUUGAAUCUAUCCGCCUUGCAGCAUGAACUUUGGAUUUAGUUUCAUGAAACUUUAGGAAUGGUUGGUCAUUUAAUUAAAAUGUUUAUCAUGCUAGGCUUUGAACCUUUCUGAUAUCAAACUUGAUUAUUUUGAUAAAACAGGUGAAGAAUUUGGGAGAAUACGCUAUCUUUUUAUGCAACAACCAAUCUCUUUGUCUCUCUUGUAAAGACUUACCUGAGUUGAAACCAAACCACAUCUAUUUCACUAAUGACUUCUGGUGGUGGAAUGAUCACCAUAGAGAGAAAUGCCGGGAUGUAAUCGUCUAUGAUUUGGAGAACAAUACCUUCUCAUAUAUUUUGCACUCUGAUGCUCGUCUAAACAUGCCACCUCCUAUUUGGAUCACUCCCAGUCCUCUGCUUAAUGACUGAUAGGUGAGUCAAAUUUGUCAUUCAAUUAUUUAGUUUAGAGGUUUUGUAAUAGCAUCCACUUUUUUCAUUGUACAAUUUAUUACCUCAUUUACUUUACUACAAAUAUUGAAAGAUGCUCAUUUAGUUUCUUUAUUUCUCAUGUAAUUUUGGGGUUUAAGCAUUCUCUUGGAGACGCAAAAGAACAUGCCGUCAGUAACCUCUCUCUCUCUCUCUCUUUCAUGCAGCUUCUUCUUCCUCCUCCGGAAGAAGCCAAUGAUAUCUAUAUGUACAAGUGAGUCACAGAAUCUUUUGCUUUCGAUCAUUCUCGUCUCUGAUCGGUUUGCCUACACCGAGGUGGAAGGCUUCGCUCUCUAAGGUCUGUCUGGUGGGAUGGGUUAUGGCCUUGAGCUUCUCCUCAAGAAUUAUUCUUAUUCUGUUUCAAGUCUUGUGUAAUAUGAAUCCUGAUCAGAUGAUGUGUAUGUUUUGUUCGGAGCCUGCUUUAUCUGAUAUGUUUAUAUCAAUGUUGGUUUUGGCUGUUCCAUAUCUGGCAAUCCGACAUCUCCUUUCUCAUCUCGAAGAUGUAUAAUGUUUCGUAUGUAAAAGGAAGUUUGCACUGCCUCAAAGGGAUUGCCAUUUUCAUCACUUCAAAAUAUAAAGAUUCAUUCAUAAGUGAGAUGAUGAAACUUCAUUUGUUCUCUCGACGUAUGAUAAGAUAUCUGAGGCCUUUUUGGACCUCAUGAUCUUGUCAUCUAAUGAGUCAUCAUUGAUCCCCCAAGAAAUUAUCUACUGUGGAAUCUCCGCAUGCUUUUAUCCUACUGAGAUGAUGAAACGUGAUCUCUACUACAAUGGGCCAACCCUAACUGGUUCUAACAGCGAACAUGUGGCAGGCACACUCAACCGCCACGUGCGCACAGCAAGCCCACAAACCCAUAUUAGAAACUUUGACCAAGUAAAAUACAAUAUUUUUUUAUAAAAUCAUUUAUUUUGAUUUAUUAUUACCACCGUCACAUAUGAAUGAUCAUGAUUUAGGAAGAUCUUCUAAUUAGUUAUUCAAGUUACCUAGUUUUCUACCGCAUAUGUAUGCAGAGGUGGACCAUUGUGGGUUCCACUUGGGCUCGAUCUCGAGUAACCACGUAGUGGAACAGCGGGUGGCCGUAAUUAGUAGCGGAACCCUCUUCUGUCAACCAAUUGUAUGAUGCCACGUAUAACAAUAUUCAUUUGUGGAACCCCUGCACGCCACUCCUCCCAAAGACGUCCUCUUCAGAUUUUUAUUUCAAAAAACUACUUCCACGACCGAAACAUACUCACGAUUGUACCUUUUAUUUUAUUGGGCAAAAAAACUGGGCCUGAAUACUGAGUAGUAUAGCGAUCUAUGAUAAUAGACUGGUGAACAAAGGGUUCUCAUGUAAAUAGUAGAAACAUUAUUUGUAUUCUAUCGUGACCGACAUGCCGUUCCACUAUAUGGACUGGUUGUGAGAAGAACACUUCCAAAUUCCCAUUUACUAUUUCCUUCUCUGUCACCUAUUUCGCUUGCUGUUUCGGCGAUCGCAUCUCAAAUAUGGCCGCUGCGAGGGUUCUCCUCCGCCGAGGAUCCGCUGUCGCGCGCGGCCUCCUCCCUACCAACGGCCCGCCGGCCACCGCUGCCGCCUCCUCUGCAGCGCUUUUUCUCCAGGCUCAGCCCCACUCCUCCCAGACCGACUCGGCGGCGGCCGCGGCUAAGCCCAAGCGCACCAAGACCUUCUCCAUCUACCGAUGGAACCCCGAUCAUCCGGAGAAGCCGCAACUCCAGCACUACGAGAUUGACCUUGGCGAGUGCGGCCCCAUGGUCCUGGACGCCCUCAUCAAGAUCAAGAACGAGAUGGACCCCUCCCUCACCUUCCGCCGUUCCUGCCGCGAGGGCAUCUGUGGAUCCUGCGCCAUGAACAUCGACGGUGACAACGGCCUCGCUUGCCUAACCAAGAUCCCGGCCUCCUCGGCGGCCACGACGAUCACGCCCUUGCCGCACAUGUACGUGAUCAAGGACCUAGUGGUGGACAUGACCAACUUCUACAACCAGUACAAGAGCGUGGAGCCAUGGCUCAAGAGGAAGGACCCGCCGCCCACCCCCCCGAAGGAGAUCCCACAGAGCAAGAAGGACCGCGCGAAGCUCGAUGGGAUGUACGAGUGUAUUCUUUGCGCCUGUUGCAGCACCUCCUGCCCUAGUUAUUGGUGGAAUCCUGAGGCCUAUCUUGGGCCAGCUGCCCUCCUCCAUGCUCACAGGUAUAACUUGUUGAUUCAUUUGUAUUCUUUUUACAAUGCUUGGGUUAGCUUUGUUGAUUCAAGUUUGCUGCUUGCUGAUUGGUCUGUGACUGGUUUAAUUGUGAAAUGGAUGAACUUUUGUUGUUUGGUAUCAUGUUAUCAUUAUGUUGAGGAGUAAUGUUCGGCCGACCAUCAUGGGGUUGGAAGGUUGAUGAUCAUUAUGAAUUUGUUUGUUCUUUUUUGUGUCCUUGAGGAGGAAAGAGAAGAUUGGAGUUUAUGAUUUUUCCAACUUAAGAGUUGAUCUCUAGAGAUCCGUUUACUAGAUGAUAUCAUAUGUAGAUGAACAGAAAAAAAAGGCCAAAAAUUUGAUAUCGAAAUGACCAUUACAUUUUUUUUUCAGCUAAUCAUGCCUCCUGCUUGGAUUCAAUGUGCACUUGGUGUAGGGUUUCGAAUAGGUUUACAACUUCUGUAUGUCUGUGCAUUUGGUGUAGGGUUUUGAAUCGGUUUACAACUUCUGUAUGUCGGUGCACUUGGUCUAGGGUUUUGAAUAGGUUCUCUCUGUUACAGUGUGGUAUCUUCCAGAUUGUUUUGGAUAAUCUUUAUAAUGCUUUAUCACAAUACAUUUUCAUUGGUGUCAUGUUUUGUUUUAAUUCUUCAGUUUAUUGCUAGUUGUAUGGCUAGGGGCUUCAUUUUUGCUCAUAUGCUGCCUUCAGUAUUAGAAAUUCUAAAGUUUGGAAGUUUGUUUCUCUUUCCUCACGUUUUAUUCACAUAAAUCGAGAAGUUGUUUCCACGUGUUUCUUUGUAUUCAUAUGAGUAUUGUUUUUUGUGAUUUAUUGCUUCAUAUGAAACAAGAAUGAAGGUGAACCUGGUGGUUUAUAUUGGUAGGAAUUUGCAUUCCAGUCAAGGUUUAAGAAGAUUAGACAAGCUUACUAUAUUCAUAUUUUUGAGUUUCAUGAAAUUAUCUAAUUUUAGCUGUCUUUUUUAGGAUCUUCUGAGAGAUAACGAGAGAUGAUAUUUGAGGAUUCCUUUAUGAGCUAACAAAGGAUACUAGGGCUCAAAGGACUUAGACAUGGAAUGAAAAUUAACAAAUAAAGAAUAAUACUCGAUGUAAACAUGUCUGAUUCGUAGGAAAAAGAAGUCAAUCAUAAAAAGAAGUUUUGGUUGAAGUAAAUCCUCCCAUUGUAGUUUUGGUUGGUUCUAGAAGUUGCUUCACUUGUCUUCAAUGUAGUAGGAAACAUUGCUCUCCAAUGACACCAAAUGUUUAGCAGUUUGGGAAGGUAAAAGAAGAUAUUGAACAUCAAGGGCGUUGAGUGGAUUGUUGAUGUGUUACUUGUAGACUGGUAAAUAUAAGUAGAAAGACAAGUUAAAUAUCGUAAUGACUUUGAAAAGCAGGAUAUAAUAUAGGGUUUAUAUAAAGGUGUAAAAGAUAGGAAAUGGGUGCUUAUCUUGGAGUCACUCAAAAUCCAGACCGCCUUUAGGAGAAGAAGAUAAUCUUACACCACUCGCACAUAGUAUUGAAAGUUCAUUGAGUCGUAAUUGUUUUCCAGUACUCCUUUUAUAUAAAUCUCAUAUACAAGAAAAAGAGUAACCAGACAAAUUUAUAACUUGAAAGAAUAAUGGAAUCAAUCAUCCCAUCUUUUAUUUCUGGCAAAUUUCUUUUGCCUCCAAAUUUUCUUUGAGAGAGAAUCUUCCUAUUAGCAAGAUCUUGAUUUGGAUUAUUUGCACUAAAGUAUCCGGGAAUAAUAUUCUGUAGACCUUUUAUUGUAUGGACGGUGUGUCAUAAGCGACUCAAGUUUGUUGUUAAUCCAAUCAUAGCAAUGCAGACGUGGCAGUUUAUUUCCUAUUACUUCUUAUCAUUUACCCACAUAUAUUAGCAUGUUAUCCCUAGAAUAUGUCAUAUGUUUCAGGAUUCAUCCCCUGAAGAUUGUUUGGUUUUGUGCUGUUAUGAUGUGUCUUACACAAUAAAUGGACUAGGAAAAAAAUGAGUUAAGAGGCAUGAAUUAUUGCACUACUUUUUUGAUGAAUAUUAGCAACCGGUACAACCCUUUAUCUUUUUGUUGUCUUUCUUUCUGUUUUUUGUAUCCUGGGAGCACUCAGAUUAGUUUUUGGUAGCUUUAAUUUUGCUUGGAUAAGCUCUUCAUGGCUAAGGUUUGCUAUGUUGUGUAGGUGGAUACAGGACAGCCGGGAUCAGUACACAAAGGAGCGCCUGGACGCUGUAAAUGAUGAGUUCAAACUGUACCGUUGCCACACUAUCAUGAACUGUGCUCAUGCCUGCCCCAAGGGACUGAACCCCGCGAAGCAAAUUGAAUCGAUCAAAAAGCUUCAGCUUCAGUAAAUUGUUCCUGAGAUUUCAUUUGUUACUUUGAAGAGGCAGCAUCUGGCAUUUAGUUAUUUAUUUUUGCAUCAAUAACAUUCACGGAUUAGUUAUGUACUUGGAACUCCUAGUUUCCAAUUGUGCUCAAGAAUAAUGAGCUGAAACUUGUUGAUUUUGGGAAGAUAUCAUUGUAGCAGCAAUUUCUAUGUUCGAGGUUGAUGUGACUAGUUGCUUAAAAUGUCUGAUGGACUGCUGUUUGAUAUGAAUUACGUUGGUGAUUGAAUUUGGUGUUACUGAACCUGUUGAAUAUCUUAUUGAAUGUUCUACACACCCAUUAUAUGGAAUUAUAGGCUCUCAAAUUGCCUUAUGGACUGUUUUUUAAUAUGAAUUAUAUUGGUAAAUGAGUUUGAUGCUUUUGAAUGUGUAGAACAUGUACUUGUCAAAAUAAACUAUGUUGAAGCUAAAUAGCACUAUUCUUGAGAUUUUGAGCAGGGCAAGGAUCUUCAGGUGACCAACCAUUUUGGCAGAUUAAUGAGAGAACUUAUAUGACUGAUACGAUGGGUACAACUUCGAGAUUAGAACGGGGACUAUAACUAAGCAAAUUGGCACUACAUUGAUGUGCCAUGAUAAAUUCAACUGUGUUUAUGUUUUCGUCCUAAUAAGGAAGGAACUCUUAUGUGCAUCUUAUGUAUCACAGAUUACUUGCAUCAGAUGUAUUGUGUAUCGUCUCAUCAACAAUCAAAUAUUUAUUCAACUUGUGAGUAUAUCGUCUCCAAUAUUUUGUGCAGAUUCAGGAGAUCAUGGGUAAUAAGUCUUCUUGUAAACAUCUAUUAAACAUGAUUAUAGGGAUGGUUUGGAUGGAAUUUUGAUCCAUCUUCUAAAUGAUAUAUGAUGAAAAAAAAAAUGAGUUGAGAUUAUUCACAUGACAUGAAUUUUACAUUUUAAGAAGUUACAUUGGCAUCCAUAUAGUUAUGAUAGUGAAAUAUCUAGAUCCAUUUAUCCUAACGAUAUCAAUUUUAUUGACGAAAAUACGAAAACAAAUGGUAAAAAGAUAAUUUUAAUGUUCAGACGAUGUCGAUGGUGGUGGACAGCGACAUCGCUGCCAUCGAUGUCGACGCAGUUGCUUGGCUGCCUCCGACGUCGAUAAACUCUGCUCUCACUGCAACAACUCGCCUCCAUGAGGAGCACAUUGCCAACCUCAUCGUCACUCGCCCCGCUCUAUAUUUGCGAUAAUGCUGAUGCAGUUACCAAGUGACAACCGUGUUAGCAUCGAAGCAGAUGGUGAUGGUCGUCAUGAUAUCUACGGCGAAGAUGGUGACCACCUCGCCGUUGCCUGUUGGGCGGAUUCCAACCUCAACUCGAAGCUGGGGUCGUGAAACCUCUUGCUACCCCCCACACCACACCCCUCCCCGGCCCUACCCCAUGCUGCUAUGUAUCUAUAUCAACGCUAACACAGUUGUUGAGAGGCAAGUGCAUUGACAUUGAUGCAAAUGGUGGUGGUUGAUAUAGCAUCUAUGGUGAAGAUGGUGGACGCCUCGUAGUUGACCCGUUGGGCGGAUCCCAGCCUCGACUUGAAGCUAGGGUCGCCAGAGCUCAUGUCGCCCACAUCUACGUCAACGUUAAUGCAGAUGUCGCUUGAUAGCGAGGGGUGGAUCCCAAACGUAAAGCUAGGGUCGUUGGAGCUCCUAUUGCUCCCCCCACUAUCACUCGCAUCUGCGUUGACACUGAUAUAUAUGUCGCUCGAGAUUGAUGGGAGCAAUAAGAGCUCUGACAACCCCAGCUUUGGGUCAAGGUUGGGAUUUGGUCAAUGGCUCAAUGGCGAUGCGACCACCAUCUUCAACAUAGACGUCAUGGUGGCCACCACCAUCUACGUUGACAUCGAGACAGUUGUCACUCGACAACUAUGUUAGUAUCAAUGCAAAUGCAGAGUGAUAUGGGACGAGCAACAAGCUCCUCAUGGAGGCGGGUGGCAUCACGAUGAGAGCAGACUUAUCGUCGUUGAAAGCAACUAGACAACUGUAUUAAUGUCAAUGCCAAUGAUGCCAUCAUCCACCACCACCGACAUUGUUCGUCUCUUAACCUUAAAAUUUCUUUAUUACCCUUUGUUUUUAUGUUUCUGUCGAUAAAACUAAUAUCGUUAGCCUAAAAGAACCUAAUUAUUUUACCUUAAUUAUCAAUAUAAUUUUUCAAAAUAUAAAGACUAGAAUACUAAAGAUAAUAUAUGAUUAACCUCACAUAUAUUGCCCAGAGAAAAAGCUACUAUGACCAAACCUACACAAAGGCGAAAGGGACACUCCUUUUGAGACAUGAUAACGCUAUAUAUUGUUGCACAAAACAUGAGGUAAUCACAAAAUACACGCAAGAGGUAGUGGUGAUCAAUGAACUGCACAGUAAUAUCAGUUCGAGAGAUAAUUAUAUACCCCCUUUGUGAGAUUCAACAAUAGAACUAAAAUGGUGUCCAAUCUGCAAAUUCUUGAAUUCAUAUGUUAAACCCUAAUACUACCUGUAAACACUUGUGUGCACAAAGCCAUGGAGCUAAAAGAAAUCAAUUGCCUGAAACAAAUUGAAACAAAAUUGACCUCUAAUAGGUAGAAAAAUGUCCUUGCAUACUUAUUUAUGUCAAUAUGUCGGAACAGAACAUCAAAUAUAUUCUCUGUUGAGACAUCCUCAUGGCAAAUGCACAAUUGUUGCAUAGUUAAUAGAUCUCAUAUUCAAAUACAUGUGAAUAUAUCUUAUAUGCUGUUUAAUAUAAUGAAUGAAUUUUUUUAAAAAAUAUUAUAAAACAUAGUAUCAAGAAUAUCAACAAUCCUAAACGCAACACUUUCUACUGUUCUACUAGUAAAGUUUAUCUGAAUUGUCCCUGCUGCGUAUAAGAGGGACUCCAUCGUCCCUCCAAACAAUUCGAUCCUCGCAUAAAGCUGUUACUACCUCCACAUAGACUUGAUGCUCCUGCAAUGAAAGAUUUAACUAUCAUUAGGAGACUGCUGAGUAUUGACAUAGCGACAGAUGUUCUUUUUUCAUGGUAGAAACAAAGAGCCAUUGCUCUUGCUUAAGUUAAAUUGGCUAGUAGAAAACAUAAUUCUGAUAUCAUCUGAUUGAAUAUUCAAUUAAAAACAAUAAAUUACUUGAUAACCUGGCUAAGGACUCUUGCUGCAAGCUGCUCGGCGGUGUCAUCUGUUAGCACAGGCACUACUCUCUGAGCCAAGAUACGACCAGUAUCAUACUGUUCAUCAACAAAGUGAACUGUGGGACCAGAGUACCUGCAGAUUGUAAAACAAAGUCACCACAUAGAGAUUGGAACAUAGAGUGAAAGGUUGUAAAAAUGGUUUCCGUUUGUAAUUAUUUGGGGAACAGGAAGCUAUUCACAUACCUUGCCCCGGACCCUAUGACAGCUUCAUGCACCUUUAAACCAUAAAAACCUUUACCACCAAAAGCUGGAAGAAGGGAUGGAUGAAUGUUUAAUAUGGAUCUUCGAAAUGCCUGAACUAAUUCGAUGGGUAUAAGCUUCAAGUAACCAGCAAGCAGAAGAAAGUCAACCUCAAAUUUCCUACAAUCAAUAAGGCAAUGUUUGAAGGAAGGCAAAGCAUCCAAAAUCUAACCAAAAAUCUCAAGAAUAGGCGAAAAUAGUGACCUAGGUUAUGAACACUUCUGUUUUACUGAGGGCCCAAGGUAAGAAUAACAACCACAAAUGCUUAGUGGGGGAUCUCUAGAAGUGCCUUCAGGCCGAACAAGCAUGCCAACCGACUACAAGGUGGAGGGGAUUGCCAAGUACAAGAGGUAGAGGGGAUUCAUUAAGGAGAUCACCCAGCUGAGGUUCAACAAAUUCAACUACGGGUACAAACUGAGGAUUUCUGGAGUCCUCCACAACCAUCCAGGCUUGGUGGUCCCUAAAGACCCUAGGGAUCAGUGCUUGUUGGACAACCAAUUCGUAUUGGUCAGGAAUGAUGGCCUUAAGUCUUGAGUCCAACUAUAACCAAUGAUGGCCCAAUGCCAUUGAACACGGGGGGAAGUUGAGGGAGUGCUGAGGGACGAGGCAAUAGGGACCAUGGUCAAAGAGGAGCCCAACGGUACUGAAACGGAAGCCACUACUGUUGACUAGGAGCAAAGGGGAUCCCAACACAUACUGUAGUUUUUUUUUGUUGAAUAAAAAUAUAAUUCUUUUUAUUACGAUUGGUUCUGAGAAGUAAUUGGAAUCCACAAGUGUGAGUUAGACAUAGUUCUUCCUAGUUAGGAGUGAAUUUUCCGAAUGAGUGGGAUCAUUAAUGUAGCUUUGUGUAAAACUAAAUCCCCCCACUCUUGGUUGGGGAUGUUAGACCUCAUGAAGUACCAUAGAAAGUUUGUAAGUAAGCUACAUAGAUGUGCUCUUGUAUGAGUUUCAUCGAUCAAGUUGAGGUUUAGUCUAGCUUCAAAAGAGUAGGUUUUGGAAUCCAUAAGUUCCAUAGCGAGUGACUUCGGCUUUUAUAAGACAUUGGUUCCCUACUCCAUUAUUGAUAUGGAACUAAAUGUGUUUAUUAGUAUAUCCACAAUAAGGGUGUUAAGGCCUCUUAGGCACCAUAUGAUAAGUUAUCUUUUGUUUUCACCAUUAUAAGCAUGAGAGCUCAUGAGGAAUUAUCUUAUUUGAGAUGGACCCUACACAAUUUUGCCCCUUUGGGUGGAUUCCAGAAGAUGUCUCUGAAGAUAGAGGUGACAUUGAUCCUCCUACUCGAUCAAUCGAUAUAGAGACUAUACAUGCUUAUCAAAAUGGAUAUAUGUUUUAUUUUAUUCUUGAUUGAUUUAAGGUAUUUUAUAGGAAUCAAUUAGGUCGAAUUGAAACUCAAUUUCAAACCACAGCGAGUCUCAAAGUUUUAUAGUUUUUGCCUCCUCAAAUUUCAAACAAUCAUGUAUCAAGUUUACAUCCAUAAUCUUCUUUCUCGAAGGAAACAUAAUUAUGAACACCACAUGUAGAUAUGGGUCUAACAAUAGUUGAACAACAUUAAAAAUACAUGUAAUGCAAAUGACAUCUUAAAUUUUUGUAAUUGGUUUAUGUCAUUCAUUGUUCUUUUAUUCAUUUCGAGGAAUGAUAACGUGUACCAUGAGUUAUAUCAGAACUAAACCCAAAUAUAUCAGAUCUAAAAAAGGAAAAUACAAGUUUAGAAACUCAAUAAAAAGAAAAAAAUAUGGAGAACAAAGAGUUAUUUCGCAAUGAAAUUGGUAUAAAUAAAGGGAAGAUAGUUUGGAAAUAUCUCCGACCAAACCUCAUUUGAUGCUUAAAUUAGAAUUCAAGAAAGAAGAUUGCAACAAGAAUAUUCACCUUAAGGUUGCUACAAGUUCAAAUGCUGAGACACCAUCAGGUGAGGAUUUGGAUCCAGGAAAUAUAACAACUGGAAUUAGAUUAUCUCUUGCAUAUUCAGCACCGCCACAACCUGCCAGAAAAAUUAACAGACUUGCAAAUUUUUUUCCUCAAAGAACAUUAUAAUGAUUGCAUGAACCAGUUAAGCUAAAAAGCAACAAGUGUCUUUGGUGAUUAGUCAGGUGCCAAAUUUCCAAUGACAGAUUACAUUCCAUUUUCUCAUUUCCACUUUUUUUGUUAUGAUCGAGUAGCGUUAUCAAUGGAUACAUACUAUUAUGGUUCGUGCAAGUCUAUUAACAUUUUAUUACUAAACAAUUAAUUAUGUUUGUGACAAGGUAGUUCAGUUGCAAGAACAAAAAUGUUGCAACAAUGGUACCCCACUAGGAUAUUGCUGCAACAACGAGCAGUUCUGAUAAGAGAAGGAAAUUGUGAGCAUUCUACUGACAUCGAGUGGAAAACAAAGUACAGUCAGAAAAUCCAAAUAACUAGAAGCAAUAAAUAAUUGGAGCAAUGCCAAGUAGAAAAGACAAAAAUAAUCACCAAGAGAGGAAAAACAGAAAAAAAAAAAAGCUGCAGAUAUAUGUUACGAGCAAAAGCAAUACAAGCAAUUUCUUCCAUGCAACCACCUCAAAUGUCCAAAAACAAAACAUACCAGGCUUAUCUGUGACCAAAACUGUAAUAUCUCCAUGAACUAAUCCUUGCUUGGUUGCUUCAUGGAUAGCUUUAAAGUUUGAACCUCCACCAGAGACAAAAACUGCCAAUCUUUUCCUCUGAGUCGAUUUUUGUGAAGUGUGAUCAUUUGUCAUGCAGCUCACUGUCUCGGAAGCACUACAUCUACAUCCCAAGCCCUGAUAUUUACUCCCAGCUUUCUGCAGCACCACUUUUGAAGGAGGAGAUGCUUUUGCGAGUAUGUGGCUCCUAUAUGUGACUGAACAACGAGAGAGAGCAUCCUGAGAUGCCAAUCUAAUUGUCAUACAUCUCGAUGACAUAUUGAUGAAAUUUGUGGGGGAAGGAAGCCUAGUCCCAAUUAUUGAUCCCAGAGCAUCCAUUGUUUUAAAGAAAUAAACAAAACACACACACAAGCUCCUCCUAACAACUGCUGUGUGUUCUUCUAUUUAUUUAGGAAAAGAAAAAACCUGCACAAUUGAAAAACAGAAGUUAUAAGGCUUUCACUAAGAAAAACUCACUGGUCCUAAAAAAUAUCAGAUUUUAGUGUUGGGGAGGGAGAAAAGAAAUCCAAAAGAUCAAAAGAAAACCCAAAGAUCAACAAAUAAGGAACAUACUAGACAACCAAGAUGUAACAUGGUUCAACAAUUCCCUUGCCUAUAUUUACAGAAAAAAUCAAAAUUUUCAAUAUAUAAAAUUAAUUAUUCAACUUUCAUAGAUCCGAAGAACUCUUCUCUCAACUUUCUUUAGAUCUACUAAAGAAGAACUCUCAAGAGCACCCAAAAAGGUAAUCCCUCUCGCCAAAACCUUGAGACUCAAUGUGUAUUUAUAGGAACAAAUCCUAAGGACUCUUCCGACUUGAAUUUCUAGUCUAAUCUAAAUAGUACUCCAUCAAGGAGUUUGAAUUUAAUUAAGACUCUUUAAAAUAAUUUGUUUAUUAUAGAGUAUAAAUUGGCAUCAAAUGUUCCCAACUCUAUAAUAUUCAUAUAUAGAGAGAGAAACAGGAGUCAUGGCUAUUCAGUUACUCCAAAUUGCUAUCUCUUACCCACGGUAUCAACGGGAGUUUCUCAAAUAUACUAAGUCGUUAAUGUAGCACGGAAUUAUUUUACGAAAAGGAAAGAUUAAAGAAAGAUAAGAACCAAAAUUUCUUUCUAUGCUUUUGCUUGCUCACAUAUCCGAUCAGAAAUAAGAUUUGGGCAGCAGAGGAAGACGGGAGAUCAACCGCGUGCAUGCGAUCCACUAUUCAUCACUUAGCUGCUUGAUAAGCAAAAGGAGAAAAAGAGGAACAUUUAAGAGGGCCCCAAAAACACCAUAUUUAUCUUAAUUGUAGAGCUAAGGAUCUGGCGGAAGAACCGAGCGGCGGGCGCGGUGGUGGUGCCGCUGAUCGGGGCGCCGGCGACGACGAGGCGGAAGUCGCCCGCGAUAGGGUUUUGGUAUCGGGCGCGAGUAAUCGACGGCAGUCCCUGCAAUCGAGUUUAUCGGGUUUGGACUUCCCGGUGACAAAGAACAUUGCGGGAGAUGUGUUGUUAUCGGGUCAAAUCCGUUUUCUGUGUUCCGGAUCAGUUGUCGGUUUUAUGUAUUGCGGAUCCGGAUCCGUGUUGUCAUUUACCACUAUAAAUAGCAUAACUGAACCGGUUCGAUCCGGCUUGAACGCAUAACCGGUCCAAUCAGAAAACGCAUAGAUGAUUUAUGUGUAAUGUUUCUUCACAUAAUGAUGCUGAUAAUGUUAAAGAAAUAUAGUGCUAAUAAUACUUCGGAGUUGCAUAAAUGUAAUGUUUUAGUCUGGUUGAACUUUAGGAGAGAUAUAUAUAUAUAUAUAUAUAUAUAUAUAUAUAUAUAUAUAUAUAUAUAUAUAUAAACAGAAUCACUAAAGGCUACACUAAAAGAUUCAACAAGAUAGUUUGACUACCGGUUAAUUUGAUUCUCUCAAUCCUCAUCAAUACUUAUAUAAGCGACCUCUCAUUUUUCGACAAAGUCAUAACACAACCACUAGCAACAUUCUUACAAUUCUUAUAAGAAGUCAACUAACAUAUUAUUACAGAGUCAAUCAUAGUUGGUAACAGGAAGGUUGAGCUAAAAAAAACAGUCAAAGAUGAAGAGAAUCUUUAUUGGAAGCACAUAGAGAGGCCAAGGAAAGAUAGGCCACGAGGUGAUAAAAUGCCGCUUGAGGAGAUUUUACACCCUUAAACGCUUCCCAUACCAAAGUUUUCAUGCAAAUCCAGGAAAGUGUUAUUAAGAACCUCACGACCACUAAAAGCACUAUCGAUAAGGAGAAAUAUGAUGAGAUAUUAUCGAUUUCAUCAUGAUCAUGAGAAUGAUACUGAGAACUAUCAUGCCCUGCCCUGAAGGAAGAAGAAUUAAUCUAGAAAGGGCAUCUCAACAUAUUCCUUCCCAUGGUCCACAAAACUUCGCUAAGGCCCUGUGGACCUAUUGAGCAGCGGGUUGAUGUAAUUGUCGGAGGGCUCGCCAUAGGGGGUAGCAAUGCAUCUAUCAGAAAGGCUUAUGCAAAAAAAUCCUAAUCCAAAAGGCAAUGUCUGAAUGGAGAUCAAUCGAUCAUGUUCAAGGAUCAAUUGAUUGUCUCAAGAAGAAAAAUAUCUUGACCCUAAGCAUGAUGACAAAUGUGAUCUCCCUUAAAAUCACCAAUGCACUAGUGAAGAGAAUCUUGAUCGGUACUUGAAGCUCCAUCGAAAUCUUAUACUAUGACGCCUUCCAAAAAGUCGACCUAAUUAUCAAAUAUCUAUAGCUUAUUUCCUCUACUCUAAUAAGGUUCAUUAGAGAUUCCAUCACCCCACUAAGUACUAUAGGCCUCUAUAUAAUUUUUGGAUUCAAGAACUACUCGAAGAUAAUAAAAACUAAAUUUCUAAUGGUAGAUAUUCUUUUUGUAUACAAUGUCAUUAUUGGAUGACCCACUCUCAAUCGUAUAUGAGUCAUGGUAUCAACCUAACACAUGACACUUAAAUUUUCUACAAGCUUCGAAAUAAGAGAGCUGAGGAGUGAUCCAAACGAGUCAAGAUAAUGUUAUUUGAAAUCAGUCACUCUACCAAAUAAAAUAGCACUUUCAAUCCAAUAGAUAGAUCCACAUGGACCGUCUCCAUCUAACCCACAUCUUAAGGUAGGAGAGCCAUCAGAGGAGAAUCUUCUUAAUGAUUGAUGCUCGAAGCACUCGAUUAAGGUUGGAGUCACCCUAUUUGACCAAAAAGAAAGGAGCUAGCUAAGUGAUUGGCUAGAAUUGAUUGAAGUUUGGCUCAACACCGACUCAACAUUGAUUCAAGACAUCAAGCGAUACGAUAAAAGUCUCGAAGGUUUAUGACUGAUCAAUAAUCAAUGAUUGAAGAAGUUAAUAAAUUAUUAUAUAUCAACUUUAUCUAUGAGAUCAACUAUCUGCUUACAAAUGUAAUCCUCAUUAAGAAAAAUAAUAAAAAGUAGAGAUUAUAUAUUGAUUACAUUGAUCUUAAUAAGACAUGCCAGAAAGAUAGCUUCCCUCUCCCCCGAAUUGAUCAAAUUAUUGAUGCCACAUUUGGACAUGACUUGCUAAUAUUUAUGGAUGUGUUUUCUAGGUAUCAUCAAAUAAAAAUGGCACGAGAUGACGAAGAGUUAUAACUAGUAGGGGGCUUUACUAUUAUGGGGUCAUGUCAUUUAACCUUAAAAAUAUUAUAGCAACAUAUCAAAGAAUGACCAAUAAGAUAUUUCAACAAUAUAUUAGACUGAUAUGCUCAUGAAGAGUCACUUUACAAAGACUCACUUACUCAACCUGGUGGAGACCUUCGCAAAUAUAAAAAAUUUCAAAUGUACUUGAAACCUAUUAAGUGUGCAUUUAGUGUAAACUUUGAGAAAUUCCUUCGCUUCAUGAUUCAUUAGUGAGAGAUAGAUGCUAAUCUAGAGAAAAUCUUAGUUGUCAUAGAUAUGAAGCCAUCGACUUUGGUCAAACAAGUUCGGUAGUUGAUCGGUUAUAUCAUUGCACUUAGUCAUUUCCUAUCUAGAAUCGAGGAACGAUGUUUACUAUUCCUCAAGAACUUGAAAUGCCCAAAGGAUUACUUAUGGAUUGAAUAGUACUAAGCAGCCUUUGAUUUUCUUAAGAAUUAUUUGGCAGGCCUCCCCAACUUUCUAGCCCACUUCUAGGCAAGGAACUAUAUCUAUACUUAUCAAAAACUCCGAUAGCUAUGAGCUCAUUAUUGAUUUGGGAAGAGACUCAAAUAUAGUGGCCCAUGUAUUAUAUUAGCUAUGUACUUCAGGAUGAAGAGAUCAUAUACCUAAAUUUUGAGAAGCUCACCUAUGGGUUGGUGCUCGUAGCCAAGAAACUCCGCUCAUACUUUUAGGCUCAUCAUAUCAUUGCCAUGACAAACCAGUUAAUGUGCUAGAUCCUUUCUAAGUCAGAUGCAUUGGUUAGACUCUUUAAAUGAGCACUUGAGCUCAACAAGUUUGACAUCACUUAGAGGCCUUGAACUACAAUUAAGGCCCAAGCCUUGAUGUAUUUUAUAACAGAAACGACUCUUAUCUAGGAGGAUUUAGAGAUGAUCGAAUACUGGACUCUCCAUGUAGACAGAUCUAUAACACUAACGAAUGAGGGAGCAUGUCUUGUCCUUAAAGGUCCUGAUGGAGAGGCCUAUAAACAUACACUCUGAUUCAGCUUUACAGUGACCAACAAUAAAGUUAAAUACAAAGCUUUAUUAACUAGGCUCAAGCUAGAUAAAAGCAUGAAAAUUGAAAGUUUAAAAAUUUUCUGUGACUCUUAGCUAGUUGUCAAUCAAGUGUAUAAUAUGUAUUAAACUUAUGAACCGACCAUGGCAGCCUACCUUACCAAAGCCCAAUGACCAAUAUAUGAUAUCCCUUAGAGCAAAAACAUCACCAAUGAACCAACCAUGGCAGCCUACCUCACUAAAGCCCAAUAACCUAUCCUUUAGAGCAAAAACAUAAUGGUUGAUACUCUCUCCAAACCUUCCCGAAAGGUGUACUUUAAUGUUGCAAAAGGAAUCAUAAUAAUGACAUUAGACCAUCAAAAGUAUCAACAAAGAUCAAAUUUUAGUCACUUUGAUAGAAACUACCCAAAUGGGUGGUAUUUGAAAGUAUCUUAAGACUGGUGGCUUGCCUAACGAUUUAACCAAUGCAAGAUAGAUUUAGAGGCAAUAAGCAUGGUGCUAUAUUCUAAAUGAUGUCAUUUAUAGAUGAUCAUUAUUAUAUCCUCUCAUUGUAUCCAUCCUACUGAAGCCUCUCAAGUCCUAUCCGUGAUCCAUGAAGUAUGUGAGGAGCAUAUUAGAGCAAGAUCCCUUACCUUUAAGGUACUUUGGUACUACUGGCCAACCUAAUAGAUGCUACGAAUUUUGUCCGACGUUGUGAUCGAUGUCAACGCAAUACUCAAGUGUAUAACCUUUUGAUGGUCAAGUUGACAUGACAGAGCUUGGCUCUUCGCACAAUAGGGCUUAGACAUUCUGGGACUCUUUCCCCUAGUUUCAGGGCAAAAGAUACAGUUGAUUAUAGGGGUAUAUUAUUUCACCAAAUGGGUCGAAGCUGAACCCCUAGUCUCAAUAUAAAAAAAAACAAGUUGAGGGUUAUAUUCAGAAAAAUAUUGUCUCAUGAUUUGGGGUUGCCCAAGCAAAAAUCAUAGAUAACGGGAUAUAAUUCAACAACACUAAAUUCAUAUAAUAGUAGUUCCUUCGAGAUUCAGCUCGGUGGCACACCUCCAGACCAAAGACUUGGUUGAAGUCACUAAAUGGGUAAUACUUGAAAGUAUGAAGAAAAAUAUUUUGAGGGCUUAUGGGAGGACAAACUCCUGAGUACUCUAAGGAGUUAUUGAACCACUCAGAAAGCUUCUAUAGGGGAAUUAUCAUUUCACCUUACCUAUGGUAUCGAAGUCAUGCUCCCAAUUGAGUUAAUCUUGUCAACCAUUCGAACUCAAUAUUUCUCCGAGGAUGGCACAAAACUCGAUCUCAGAGCCAACUUAGAUAUAAUUAAUGAAGAACCCAAAUCCAUUUGAGAAACUUAGCCUACCAAUAAUACGUGGCUAAGGCAUUGCAAAGGUUCAUCUCCGACGAAUAAAGGAAGGAGAUUUGACCUUAAGAAAAGUUGAAGUUAGUGACCCACAUAAGAGGCAAGCUAAUACUAAUGUAGGAAAGGUCAUAUCAAAUCUCAAAAGAAGCUUAACCAAAGAUGUACUGACUCUAGACCAUAAGCAUGUCAAACAUUCCUAAGACUUAGUACAUUUCCCAUUUCAAGAAGUAACAUCUUUUAAAAACCCUUUUGUAAUAUUAACAUAUUGUGUAAAUACUCUUUUUGGGAAAGAAAGAUGUUCUAUUCAUGAAAAACUUAUACAAUAUUCUCGAUAGCUCUUACAUUGCAAAAUGAGCAUCUUCUGUCAAAAGAAAAACAAGUAAAAGGAAAUCUAACAAGCCAAUUCCUACCCCUUUAAAUUUUUUACAAUUUCAUCUUCGAGGGGUGAGUUGGUGACAAGUGUGAUAAUCAUCUCCUUAGUGGCAACAUGCAUGUUGGCCAGCUCAUUGUCCUCUUCGUUGGCUCAAUAACAUCUCCCUCGACAUAGAUAGUUAUCUUGCAUCGAUCAUCAAGUUCGUCGGACCCGACCAUGACAACCUUGCUGUCAAUGGAUACGGUCUUAAGGAGCUCAUUGUGGAUGUGCUUAUAUUCAGUUUGGGAAAUCGCGAGCUUAUAAUUGAAGGUGAAGGCAUUAUGCCCCUAAGUUUUUUUCUUAAAGCCCUCGAAGAUCACCCCAUAAACUUCUACCUUCACCUUACGGUUGUCUGCUUCCACCAAUGAUUGGACCAUCAUCUUGUUGGUGUGUCGAAAGGUCACAUACUUUGGACUUCAAGGCCAAACCCUCCCACCUAAGGCAUUCAACCUCUGCGUUAGCAUCAAGCCUCUAGUGGUACUCUUAAGUAGCUUCUACCUUUGUUAUUGGAUGCACUACCUCCUCCCAUUGUUGUAAGUCAGCCACAACCACCUAGAACUUGUGUUCCAUCUCGCCCUUUCGAGAUCAGAGUUGGGUUGUCUCGUCUUCUGCCCAAGACCUCUCGACUAUAUUUUCUUGCUCCGUAAGGAGCUCAACCUCUUAGAGAAGGUUGCUUGCAACUAUUGUCGAGUCUCUUGGGUUGUCUCGUUUUCUGCCCAAGACCUCUCGACUAUAUUUUCUUGCUCCUUAAGGAGCUCAACCUCUCGGAGAAGGUUGCUUGCAACUAUUGUCGAGUCUCGAGCUUGAUUCAAAAUUGUCACGACCCAAGCCUAAAGUUAAUGUAGUAUACUCGACCCUUAUAAGACAAUCUUAGCUUUUGCCUACUAUCGAUGUGAGACUAAUUUUUUACUACAUCCAUAGGUAGCUCUACUUAAGCCCUCUCACCAUGCCCAAAUAUUAGGUCGGCUCUAAUACCAAAAUGUCACGACCCAAGUCUGAUGGGCUAACUGGUUAAUAACUCUGUUUGGUCCAAACCAUUGACCAAAAUAUUUAAGCCGGAGUUAUUGUAGUACACUCACCAGACCCUUAUAAGACAAUCUUAAUCUUUUGUCUACUUCUGAUGUGGGGCUAAUUGGGGUGUCAACAAAAAUGAUGAGGAAUGGAUAGAUUUAGACCAUGACCGAGCCUUUGUGUUUAUCUAUGAGGACAUCCUUAGUGGGCCUUAGGUAUAGACCCUUGGCCAACACUAGGUGCAAGAGGCACUUGUUCCAAGAGGUGGCCUCCCUUGGAACCUCCCAUGAUAGACUGGCAUGGUUUAUACACCACUCGAGACUAUAGAUGAUCCCUCAUCUUCGGUAACUAGCCCAUGGAUAAUACGCAUCGUUGUGAGUAUUGUUGGAUCGGUAGGAACCUCAUUAUCGAUGCAGACGAUGGGCCCUCAAAGGUGGUCAACGACCUCACUCCCGAGUCUGAUAAGGAUGCUUGUUGCUAUUGUGGCUGCUCUUCUCCUUCAGUAGGUUUCUACAUGACAACCAUUGGAGCGAGGGGAGUCGGAAUGUCGGGAGGAGCCCUCUGGUCAAUGUGUGUCCUCUUUACGCGCCUAUUGGCUUAGUAGUGGUGAUGGAGAAGUGGGGAGCAUUUUUGCCCGACAUGAGUGCUUGAUGCCCCUCUUCCUUCGAUGACUGGUCGAUAGGUUUUACUUUUGAGCUCUUCUUCUUAAUGAGCUCUCAAUGAUUUACCUCAUUGAGCGACCACUUGUCUAGUCUUCCCAUCUCGACGGUGGGCGAUGACCUCUAUAAUGAUCCCUUGGAUGUUCAUAUCUGCAAGGGAGGUGUGUGUGAAGUUAAUGACUUCAUAAAGACAUAUUAGCAAAGUUAUAAAUGGAUUACCUAGAGGCGUUGGGCUGAGUCCUGUUAUAAUGAGCCAUUGUCGCCCUUCUAAAGGAUGUUGUGGAGUCCAAUAAGACUAGAGAUAGUCUCCUAAAUUGAUUUUUCUUUUGACCCGUGCAACCUUGAGGCCACAUUAAAAAAUUUUCAAGUGGACCAACUUAAGUCAAUCAACCACUCAUUGCUCGAAAGAAUAAAAAAUAUCUCCUCUUCCAACCAUUACAAAGGGUCAAAACAUUAUGAACUCAACAUCCAGGUUAGGUAGAGAGAAAGUAGGCUGAUCCUACGAAGCACAAACUAUAAUAAGCAAAUAGAAGGGUUGAAUCUUUGAUAUUUUUCAACAAAUGCCGUAAGAAAGCGUCACGAAUUUGAUGUUAUAUGAGUGAGAGAGAACUUCUAGAAGCUGAGAGCCUUAAAAACAAACACAAAAAAAAAAAGAUAAAGGGGAAAUAAAGUCCCACCACUCGAUCGAGCGGAUAAGUCCGGCCACUCGAUCGAGCAGGCAGCAGCUCAUAUAUGAUAGAUCUCCCAAAGAAACUCCAAGUUAGAGACCUCUAAAAUCGAGUCACACUUUACAAUGGGUUUCCAUUGCUAGUCCUCGUUAGCACGACUGACUCCACUCCUGAAAGCGCCACUAGAAACAGCAAGAGCGAUGACGGGAUCGGUGUUCCUCAGGUCUCGCCGCACCAUGUGGUAGCCACGCCACCACUCAGACAGCUCCCUUCCAACGUCACAUCCUUCUCGCCGAACAAGAUGGGACUAUGCGAGCAGCACGGCCUGCAAGAGAACCUUCUUCGCCAUUAGUGCACCUCUUGUCAUAUAAAUCAUCCACAAUUCCUGCCUUCACUAUAUGUAAGAUCUGCAACACAUUCUAGUCAUUUACAUCAUCACAAGAUCCACAACACACCAUAUAAGUUCACAGAAUUAUAAUCAAAGAACAUUUCUACUAAAGCAGCAUAAAGGGAUCCAUCAUAGCAUGUGAUUCACAGAAGAGACAUCCAAGGAAACAUUUCUACUACUUAGCAGCAUCCAAAGAUCUAACACACCAUAUAACUAAGAGAGAUAACAGAAAAAAGAAAAUUUUCUACUAGUAAGCAGCAUCCAACAAUCCAACAGACCAUAUAAAUUCAUAGAAGAGACAUUCAAGGAAACAAAUCUACUAUUAAGCAGCAUCCAAGGAUCCAAGAAAGCAUAUAAGAUCAUAAAAUAGAAGAUUAGUUGUUACUGGAACUUCAAAUACAUGGAAAAUUUAUAGCCAAAAAUUUUUAGGCAUGAUAAUAUCAGCCCAGUUGAUCGAAUUUCUGUAUCCUCAAAGUUCAAGCUUCUUCCUGUAAUAAGAUAACAAGAGUUGCAAAAAUAUCCUGUCCAUGUGGGAUGCUUCUGCUGGUGCCGAAAAACCAUCACAUCUGAUGGGCAUCAACCUUCACUGAUGAGACAUCAACCACAUCAAACCAGGACAAUUAAUUUAAAAGAGGAACCUCCACCACAUGAAGAGAAUCCACACCCACCUUUUUUAGGCAUCAGCCAUUCCUGAUGAGGAAUCAAUCAUAGUCAACCAGGAUGAUUCAUAUAAAACAGAAACAUCCACUAUCCACACCUAUCUUUUGUAGGCACAAUUCAUUUUUGAGUUCAGAGAACAAAAAAAGAAGAAAAAAGAAUGUGCCUUUAUUCUUUCUCCACUGAACUGAUGUCUGAGAAAUCUAUCUACAAUUCCACUGAACUGAUCUCCAGUAGACAAGUGAAAGAUGUUCCACAUUUAUACCACCAACAAAUGGACUUAAAUAACAGAAUUUGAUGCGCUCUACUAGAAACAUUAAAAAGUAAGCUCUCCCUCUACGAGCCUCCCAUCAAUGCCAAAUAUAAGGGUCCAAUAUAAGCAAUCUUAUCCCUACAUGUGAAAUACUAUUAAAAAGACAACAAUUAAAUCACAAAAUUUAGUUGAAUGAUUCUUCAAAUAUUUUUCCAUCCUCAAACUACUUCAUGAUCAACAAAUAAUUAAUGAAAUGACUUUUCCCGAAUGAGUCAUGACUAAAGAUUAAUAAGUUCAAACUUAUGGCUUUGUGAAUGGCACGUACAAAACAAGCUACCAAGCGGUGUAGUAGACACCUUUCUUUAUCAGUGUAUCUAGGUGAUACAAACGAAAGUUUGUCAGGAUGUUCUUUUCUGCUAACUUUGGUCUGACAUCAACAUCAAAAGAGAAAUUAUCUAGGGAUAUAGUUUUCCUGCUAUCGAUCAAUCUUCUUAAGAAAAACACUGUUGUUGUAUUUCUAGCUUUUUGAAAUAGUUCUGGUUAACAAAUAGCAUGAUUUGAAACAACCAAAUACAACUACCAUAAUUCUGGGAAAUGUAUAUACAAAGAAGGAAUAAGGGAAAACAGAAAUGAAAGUGUAGAAAUAUAGAGAUCAAGAAUAACUUAAGUUACGGUUCAUAUGUAGAGAAGAGAAUAUCUAAUAAUGUGGACAGUGAGUAUUUAAACUUUAUGAACUUUUUAGUCAGAAAAUUACAAUGGUAAGCUUACAAAUCAACCUUCCCUAAAAUUGAUCCACCUAUUCUAAUGUCGGCCGGGAUGCUUGCGCUCAUACAAACAUGAUUGUGAUUUCUUCUAGUUCAUUCAUGCAAUAUGAUCUCCAGUUCUCCACUGUUGAUAUUCUGUGUGCCAAAGAAAAAAGAGACAAGAUCUUUGUGUGUUUUCUUGUAGAUUUAUAUGUAAGAAUUACUUACUGAAAACUAGAGGAUCAUACAUAAAGCAGUAUCCAGAUGGCUCACCCACAGUACAGAAGAGCCAGAAUUUUAUUUAUGGAGAUGCCAAUCUCUGACAUCCAUAUCUUAGUAACUAUACGGAGUACUUUCAGGCCGAAUUGAUCAUCAUAAGGUGUUUGCGCUUGAUGUAGUCUCCAGAUUCCAUGUCGACAUUCUCCUCAUAGGUGGUCUCAGACACACAAUAGGUGGCUGGUCGGAAACUAUCCUCUACUUCACAGGCCUCUUUGUGCUUGUAUACUUGGUGAGUGUUUGUGAGGAGAGGUCUUUCAGACGUAGCCUUCUCCAACGAAGAGACAUAGGCGUAGUAGUCUCCCCCUGAGGAGAUCCUUGCCUCAUGGAACUCCACAUGGCUUUGCUGUGGGUGGUGGUGGUGGUGGUGGUGGUGGUGACUCCCGAAUGACAUUUUUGCUACAGACCUUAAUAUGCUAGGAGGCUUGAUGUUUGUUUGGCUCAUGGCUCUUCCUUUUAUAGUCAAAUUAUGAAAAGAACUUAUUCUCAAAGGAUAAGAACACACUUUAUACUCCAGUUCGUGCCAUCAUAUCAGGCAUCAAAUAAUAGCAAAAGGAAUACGUAUUAUGAUCCCAAGCAUUUCAGUUUUACUCUUAGGAACAGAAAAGAAAUUCUUGAACUUCCGAACAAUUUAACAGGGGAGUCUCAGUGAACAGAUAUUCAUUCUUUUCAUUUACCUAACAGAUAAAAAUAGAAAAUACAACUGCUGAUCAUUUAGUCAAGACAAAAAAAUAAAUAAAUAAAUCAUUCUUGCAUGAGAUCACAGGUUCUUGCAUGCCUAGUGUUUUCAGGCUCUUGCUGAUUGAAGGGGAAAAAAGAAUUUUUAGAUGACUCUAGCAUGAGAGGGUUGAUGUUUUCUCCACGAAAAAGUUAUGUAUGUUUCUUUUAUCUUCAAGGAUCCAGACACAUCCAUAUAAAAACGUUUAUAAAUAAUAAAAAGGAUAUUUUUCAACUAUUCUCAUGCAAAAGCUUGUUAUAAGUAUUAAAACAAGGGUCUAAAGCUUCAAUAACUUGAAUAACAAGAAUUGUUAUUUAUGACAUUCCUGGUUCUAUCAGGUUGUUGAUGAAAAAAGAAUCUUGAGAGCUCAAGACCAGAUAUGAUAAAAGAUGAGAAUGUCAAUUCAACUGAAGCAAAUUGUGGGGUAACAGUACAACUGUACAAGAAUAUUUAAGGAAUACAAUCAAGUUCAGUGUAGAGAGAUCAUCGAUGACAGACAAUCCAACAGCUAGUCAACAGCUAGUUGGCUCAAAUUACAGAAAAACAGCAUGGCUUCAGAUGUCGAUAAGCAUCACUUGCAUGAAUUUCCAAGUGGUAAAUUUCAGUUUGGAAGGUUUAGACUAUGCUGAAAGGUCAACUGAAAUAAAUAAAAACACCACAAUUUUGGGCUAUUGGAGAAGAUUUUAAAAGUGUGUUGUCAACUCUUCUUGAUUGUUCUCCUUGAUCAAGGACUGAAAGAGCAGACUGCUUCAUGAGACGGAGUGAAAGGAGAAGUUCCUAAAGAAACUUAAGGAACUUUCAGAAUAAUUUAACUGUCUGAUUGCUAUAUUUCAAUAGACUAUCACAGCGCCUCUCUGUGUGUGCAAACAUAACUACUCUUAAAGAAGAUAGAAAAAGAUCAAACAAGAUCAUAUCAUCAUCAGUUGCUUGAACAUCUGACAUAAAAAAUAUGCGACUCUUAAACCUGCAGAACACAUAACAACAUGUAGACACAAUCACAUACUUCUAAAUACCAAAAUAGUAAAAAGAGUGAACUAUGAGAUUGAUGCAGUUUGAUUUAAGGGGUUUGACUGAGCCAAGUCUAUAUGUUCAGGAAAUUCAUCAUUAUUCUUUUUUCGUAUUGAGAGUUGCACGAGUUAAAUAUUGCCAAUUUGUAUGAAGUUAUAUAUGAGAUUUGCCUUGGGUCCAUAAAUACAAUAUAAUUUGUUUAUGAAAUAAAUGAUAUUUCUUUAUACAGACUGCAUUACACUUUGUGCAUUUGCAGUUAUACAGAUUGUUGAUGCCUAAGAUACUGAGAUCCUCAUAUUUUUAGAGAAUAAUGGUAAUGUGAACACAUGAAAACAUAUACUGUGCAAGUUCCAUCAAACCGAAUUCCAAACUGAUAAAACUCUCUGCAGUCAGAAGGAACACAAGCAUCUGCGAAAGCAAAGAAGUGAAUGUAACUUACUAUCACCAAAAUAGCUUAGUGGGGCUUCCAAACUUCCAAAGCAUACUUAAUUUGCACAGUACAAAAAACACAGUUAAAAUAUCUUACUGAUAACAGAAAAUGGAGAAACUCUCCUUGUAGCUAGAAACGCUGCAGACACUACUUUGGCACCCAAGUUAGGUGAAGCAAGCAUGAUUACUUGAGUAUCUAUAUACAAUGUACACGUACACCUUAGAACUUCUGCUUUCCAACUUGCCUCAGAAGAGUCACACAAAUCAGAUCAUAAUAUCAGCAAUCAUGCCAUAAAUACCAGCAUACUGUUGUUUAUUAUUUUUGAAAGAGACUCCUGCAAGUGCAAUUCCAAUCACCCAUGUUCUCUUUUGCAAUUUCCAGGUAGGAGAUAUUUGUACUUGUCAAAAUUCUGAAGCAGAUAAGCAGGAAGAUGGACUGCAGAAUACGUGUGAGGUAUAGGCCCCAGCUUCCCUACAAUCUCCUUAAAUGUAUACUCCUCCGGAAGCAUGUCAUAAAGGUCUGCUCCUCGGCAUAUGACAUCCUGAAUCCUUGAUGGAUUCAGAUAAUACGCAAAUCUCACACGAUCAACAUGGCUGUAUGCCUUCAUCUUGAACACAAACUCGCCGAUGUAGCGGAAGCAGAAGCUACAAUGCCACCCCGAAUCUGACAGUAUGUCAUCGGUCUGGCGGUAGUGGGCAUAUCUCGUCUUUCCAGCACGGUACCUAUGAACCGAAGCCCUCCAGCUCUUGUUAUCCAACAAGAACUCAAAAGAGUACAAGUAAUUCCGCAGUCUGAGAUGUAGCUUUUCUGGAAUGUCAUCGCACCACCUCAAGAGGUUAAUCGUGUGGCCACUUGGGAUCUCAUCGACAUCCGACAUGAUCAACAAAUCAUCAUCACCAAUUCCUGAAGCCCUGAUGAGAUGAUCCAAUGCCACUCUCUGGUAGGACUCCUCAACAAAAGGAUUCUCCCCCUUGACGAACCUCCCACCGACAGUCCCGUAAUUGAGCCGUGGCUCCACAAACUCAAAUUGACCCCGGUUCUCAGCAAAGAAGAAGGGCUUUUGCAGGCCAGUGAAGGUAGAAUUAGACUCGAGGAGCACGAAUUCCGAAACAUAAGGGUACAAUUCGUGCCAGCGGAUGGCAAGGAUGUCCAAUUCAUUGCUAAAGAGCACCGCAUCGAACACGCGGCGGGGAACAUCGCGGACUCCCCAGCCAUGGAGCUUGCAGAGGUUCUCCAUGGAGACAUUCUCGUCAUAGUAAUGGGGGAUAUCCUUGAACGGCCUCGGAGGGGAUUCCCAGAGAGGGCGAAGGAAGUAGGUGAUCUUUUGGCCAUGCAAGUAGAUGCCGACAACAAAGGUCGGGACGACCAAGAAGAGAAGGACUACGGCUCCGAAAUUUGAAUCCCGGGGGGCGCACCGGAGCUUUGACAUGGUCCGUAUUGCUCUGCUCACCUGCCCUCAUACACAACGACAACGAUCACGAGUAUGAGGCUCUCUUAGGCAAUUCAACAAACACCUCAUGGAAAAGACAAAAAUUCUCGGAAAAAUUAGAGCAAACAGGAUCGAGAAGCACCAAAUCCAAACGCCGAAUUCGAUAAGCGAGGAGCGUAGGAGGAACGAGAAAAGGAUCAUCACCUGAGUGCAGUAUUCGUCGCUGGUAUCAUCCGACUUCUUCGAAUCGUAAUCUAAACCUUCGAGCAUCGCGCAAAGGGCUCCAAUUUACGUUUAUUAUCAUUAUUAUUAUUAUUAUAUGGGAUUUUCACAUAUUUAUCAUCUCAAACUCGAAAUUACUUUGUAACCCUUUACAAAAUCUUAAAUUGUAAACUAUAUUAGUAUUAUUUAAAGCUUAUAUAUAUAUAUAUAUAUAUAUGUGGAGGAAUAAAUAUGAAAAUUAUUUUUAAAGGGAUAUACAUGUAAUUUGACCAUAUAGUUUUAUUUAGAAGGAGAGAGGGAAACGAACGGACGCCGAUCAGUCUUCAAACCGAAAGAGUCGCGUGUCGGUUGAGCUCUCGCGUCGAUUUAUUGGUUUUAAUUCUCGGGUCAGAUCCAAUAUGACAACAUUAUAAUGAAAAAGAAAUAGUAAAUUAUCUAUUAUCCACAUGUGAUUUUAGUCUAUUAUCACAAAAUAAUUAUUUAUAUUUAUAAUUACUACCAUAUAUGUCAAAAUCAUAGUGUGUCAACACACACACAAAAAAAAACCAGAUUAUUAAUUGUUUAUCGUAAUUUUAAAGAAUCACAGCAGACUAAAUCAAUGUAUUAUAGAAGCUCUGCUAAACUUGUUCUUCUUGCAGUGCAGAGACUGACAUGGGGAUGCAUCAUCCCCCUCAGAACAGCACUGCUUUCAUGUGGGUCACAUCAAUCAAUAUCCACAGAGUAAAGCAACCAACAUGAAAAGGAUUUUGUUAAUGGAAGAUGUGUACUCCACAGGAAUGCAGAUCAGACAUGUUCUUUCUUGCAAUUCUCUACUUCUUAUCUUCUUCAUCUAUGCCUCAGCUUCCUUCCAUCUCCAGAAAAAUGAUAGCAGCAUGCAAUGAAACCAAGCAGAGAAACAUCAGGAGAGGGUUCACUCUGUCAAAACAUAAGCUUGGCAGCAGAAGCCGAUGGAUUAAUUCUUCGAUCUCCUGAAGAACUGGGAAAAGUCGAACCAUGUAUGUGUCAGCUGCAUAAUUUAAUAGUACAAGCCACUGCUUGGGCCCAAUACUUGAGCCUUGCUUUUACUGCAUCCGGAUCAUCCCCUGGUAUCAACAGAAGAGGAAAUUGAAUCAGAGAUCAUGGGAUGGCAACUACAACAGAUUCACCAAAUAAUUCUAUGAUCACAUAUAUCUUUUCCAAGAAACAGGAAGCAAUCAAAUUCCCCCAUUUACUCGAUUUGUAAACACAAAGAGACCACUCCUCGUGAUUGGUUGAAUCGUAUUGGGGAUAAAAAUUGGUCCUUUUUUUCUAGUCUUCGUGGACAUAUGAAGCAAUAUUAGGAAUGAUUUAUCCGGAUGAACACAAAUAAGGGUUGCUUGGAGGAGGAACAACAAAGAUGGGACCUUUUGGCUCAUUUGUAGAACGCCAAAAACGAAUCUUUGGCACAAUUAGCAAAGGGGAGGACCCAAGAAAGAAGUUUUACCAGGACCGGAAAUCCUCCAGUUGGCGAUGGGAGGAGAAGGAGGCGGCGCGCUCAGAUCCAUGGACUCGGCAGAGGAGGAGCGAUCCUGCUGUUGCUGUUGCUCGUCCAAGAACCUCUGGCUCAUGGAGUAGCAGAGCUCUAACGCAGGGAGCGUGUCGCAGAGCUCGGGGAUCUCCUCGUAGCUGAAACCGAAUCCGAGGUCGAGGCACCCCUUGAGCUCAUCCAGGUCCUCAUCCGUCAAGCUCUUCGUCCUCGCGACGCCGCCGGUUCCCUCCUCUCCGCCGUCCGCCCCGUCCACGUAUCCCUCGAGCGUCACCCCGCCGCACUUCCGCGGCCAUACCUCCUCCUCCUCCUCCUCCUCCUCCGCUUCCACCGCCAGAGACAGCGUCUCCUUCAUCUCCUCCUCCCUCAUCGAAGGAAGGGAACCGGUUUCCAUGGAAUAGCUUCCAAUCUCUGUAUCUCUCUGGCCGCGGUGUCUGGGCUUUAAAUGGGUUCCUCUGAUGAUGAUGAUGAUGAUGAUGAUGAUGGGAAACAGACGGCAUGUGAUGCCGUUCGAAACACGAGAGGCAACCUGGACGAUCAAUAUCUACUCUCUUUUCUCUCGUACCGUACAAACUUACUUGUAUUUUUAUUGGAUACUUUUGUGUAGGACCCACUUAAAUCACCAAAUUAAGCCGAUGGAGUCGGGAAGACAGGUGGCUCCGUCGGGCUUUGCAGCUCAAUCCAACCUGGGUUUCGCGUUGGGUUUGCUGCCUCCGAGUGCACCAGUGGGAACGAGACGCAUGGCUUUCAGCCCACGCGACAGCUUGUGGUGGAGCGGCGCCGCUUUUUGGGGCCCACCCUCUUUCCGUCCACACACGUCUUUUUCUUCUUUUUCUCUUUCUUUUUUUUUUUUGAGAAAAACCCAGGCUUAAAAAAAUAUAAUAUAUAGUCAAUAAAAUACAGAUAAAUCAUUUCAUGUUUAUAUAUAUAUCUCUCUCUCUAUAUAUAUAUAAGGUAAUGUUGCUUAUAUAUAUAUAUACUCUUCCUUCUUUUCAUGAAAAUAGAAAAACUGUCCCUUCAUUUCGUGUUAAUACAAACCACACAGUCAUUCUUCUAUCUCCAAACACUUCGGGAUACACAUCAGCACUCAUCUUUCUUGACAAAGAUUGCUGAAAAGUGAUUCAUUUCAGUAACAAUGAUUUGGACAACCAGCUUUAAACCAGUGGUUGAGGAACAUCACAGCAUGGGGCUGUCUUGAAUCUGUGUAUGGCAGCAAACUGAAGCUGAUUUGCCAAUCCUCCCCUUGGAGAUGUUUAGAGAUAAAACAGUUGACACACGUAAUCUCAGUCAUUCUCAAGACACUAAAAACACUAUUUAUAUUUUUUUUAUCCUACCUUGUGGUUUCAAGCAAGUGAAGGAUGAUCAAAGGGGGCAAAUUUUAGCAUCCAAACAACAACUCAUGUAUAUUGCUGUGAACAGAAGUUUAAAUGAACUGCAAGCUGCAUUGGAUCACUAGCUAGCUUUUGGUCAGGAGAGAUGAGCUGUUUUAGUACCAAGAGGGAUAUUAAACUCACAUUGUGAGCAGCAGACUAGAUUAUCUAAAGUUAGCCUAAUGAUCAAACAAGCAGCCACAUGAUUCCCUCGAUUGAUGAUAAUUAUUACUAAGGCAAUCAAUGCCUUUGGCAUAUGAUGAGAAGCUUGAUGUUAGUUAGACCUAAGUGAUAAUUAUUUCCCCAAAUCAUCAUCACCAACAAGGAUAAGCAAUUGGUGUUUCUUACUAUUGAUGACUUGAUAGUUCCAAAUGCAGGUAGAGAUCAUUUAGGAAGGCAGAGUUUAGUGCACCAUACAUAAAUCUACUCAUGAUAUAUUUCUACAUUUGAUAUCCAUGACCUUGCACUGGGCCAUACAUCCAACUAACCUACUAAGCUGCAAGCUGCAAAAGGAUCUACCUACCUGUCCAUACUCAUUGUGUGUCCAUUAUUAUCCUCAAAAAAGACAAACCAGAAACCAUAAUUUUUUUUCUUUUUUCUCUGUCACAACCACAACAAUUGGAUCUACAAGACUUUUAACAGAUAAAGGACAAAGAAGAAGAAGAAGAAGAAGAAAGAAAAGAUUUCCUGUUCUUUAAUGAUCAUGUGGCUCAGGAGAAACAGAAGAUUCAGCAAUCCAUAUGAAUUGUUCUUCUCAUGAGUACCCGACUCCCAACUCCUGUCUUUGGAAAAUGUGACAUGUGGGCCUUUCUUUUAGUCCACUCCAUUUCUUUAUCUUAUGAUGUUGAUGCUAGAACUGCAGUUGCAACCAUUAAUUGGCAGUCCAAUAUUCUAAUCCAUACAACUCAGCCAGGUCAAUCCAAUCAAACUAUUGCUCAUUUGUUUCUCUAGAAGGAUCCACUUGCGUUUUUCUUUUCCAACCUCCCCCUGGCUUCGAGUGCAGCUGGCAGCUGAUCAAUGAUGAGGCAUUAGCUGUGACAAGUCAAAGGCAGGCAGAACAUAAAGCCAUGAGGUGGACUGAUCGACAUUUCUCCUGCAAGUUCAUGUAGAUAAACAACCAAAACAAACAAACAAUGUGGUACAUGAGCAAGUGACGAUCAUAUAGGCUUGGAUGAUGCCAACGAGAUGCUUUUGGGAUCAUCAAAUGCGUCUGAAUGAAAGAAGAAUUGCACACUCUUAAUUUUGUAGAAAAUAACUUCAAUUUGAGAUGGUCGGCCAGUUGUGUGUUUUACUUAUUACUUGGUUUUGGGGUUCCCAUACAUGCCUUUGGCAGUUUAUGAUUAAUAAUGAGGGACAUGCAUUCAGAAAUCAGAACUAUUACUGAUCUUGCAGUAAUUUUAAUUUUAUAAAAGUUCUGUAUAAUGGAAAGCAUGCAAUAUCUACCCAUUAUAAUGUUAUCCAUUCUCCUAAGAAAUUCUUACCAUUGUCAUGAGUACUAUUUUUCAAUAACUCCAUCAUAAAUGCUUUUUUUUUUCCUCUAACUCUCCAUGAUAAUAAGUAUGCAUGAAUAAGAUAUGAAAUUUAAUUAAAUAUGGAUAUUGAGAAAUCAGUUUAUAAAGGAUAGACUUGUUUGAGAAACUAUUAUAUUUAUUGCACAUUGCCUAAGUAUGAGCUCAACAAGUUAUCAAAAAGAUUCCAGUUCAUCCAAGCUGAGUUGAUGAAAUUGAUGAAACAUGCUUAACCAAAUAACCCAGAGAAAAAAAUAGAAAGAAGAAAAGAAAGUGGUGAAUUGAGUUUAGAUUUAACUGUGAUAUAUCAUAAUCUUUUUAUGAAAGCUUGGUUAUUAUUUUGAUCCAAUAUAUCUAAGAUGAAAAUUCUUCUUAAAUUUUAGCAACAGAAACACUUACAAAAUGGAUUCACUCCGUGCCUGUAAAUGCAGGUGAAAUAUAAUGCUCAUCUCCUAGAAGUUAGCUGUUACAUCAAUUUCAAACUUCGAUAAGUCAGAGUUGGCAAUAUAAAAAGUAAUCUGCCUAGAAAUUAGCUGUUAAAUCAUUUUCAAAGUUUAUCAUAAGCCAGAGCUUGCAACCAAGUAGCAUGUUUCAAGAUUGAGGUUAGGGGAAGCUAGUAGUUCAUAUGAAGUUACUACAAAAAUAUAAUGGAUUUAGCUACUGAUAACCAUACACAAUCAAGGAGAGCACAGACAACACAAUUUAUUACCAUGUAAACUUUUUUUUUCCAAUGUAUUCAGCAGUAAUAUAGCAACUCAAUGGCCUGGCAACAAGAACAUAAAUUUUGAGCCAAAAAUUUUCCAAUCAGUAUAAAAGACUAAUAGUACACAUACCUAAAUUAAAUUAACUAAACAUGAUUGUAAACAGUGUCACAUGAUCAAACCUUGGGCUCAACCAACAUCCAUGUUUUGACUCAAAUGAUACACCAAUCAACAACUAUAGCAAUAAUGUGUUUGAUAACAUGAUAAGCAAUAAUAUCUUGUUGGAUCUAAUUAUUAGACUUCAAUCAUGGAUACAUAUUUUCAGAUUCAAACCCGAAUACUAUAAGAUAAUGCAUACAAGUUCAAGAUGCAAAGCUGACCCCAUAGCUAAAUGGAUUAAUUUUGGCAUUCUUAUCAUAAAACAAGGUCAGAUUUUGUUCAGGUUUUGUUGACACUAAGACUGCCAUGAUAAAAGCUUAAUAUCCCACAGGAAUGCCCCAUAUUAGUAUUCUUAUGCUGGACAUUUAACUCAUAUCCCUGUAAUUAAGAAAAAUAAUAGUUCUAUUAUUAAAAACUAAAUAUAUAGCAUGCAUAUAUGUUAUCUAAUUAUGCAAAGUACUCAGAUCUUUAGCACGGAGAUAUAUCUCAAACAUCUCUAUCCCUAAACAACGGCACUAGAAUUAGAUUAUAUGGAUGACAGAGUGAGGUCCAACCUCCUUGCCAUGUACAUUAAGUUCAUUCACCUUCGACAAAUGCAUAUAACAAUGCAGUAACAUGCAUGCCAAGGUUAUGUUCAAACCCCUUUAUCAUCAAGAUGUUAUGUCACCUCAACUAUCUCUGCCAUUGAAAACAUAGGCAUAGUUUGAUGUAUUAUGUGAUAUGGAAUCCCAAGGGUCAAUAAGCCAUGCGAGAGAGGACUAAUAAUAGGUAAAAAGUAUAAGUUUGAAGAUUUUCUGUUGUAAAACAGGUCCUGAAACUGACACUUCCUUGGUUUCCUUACCUGGUUAAGCAGUAGCUUCUCCUGUCAGUAUAUUUAUAAUCUACAUAACAAGAAAAAAGAUUUGGCAUUGAUCAGAUAAUUAAUUCAUCCAAAUAUGGAUAACUAUUUUAUUAGAACAUCAACUAUCAUUAAGAAUGAACAUACAAGAUAUAAGUCUUGCUAUGUUCUUGGAAAAUGACACGCACGAAUGUCUAGCAACAUAAAUACAAAGUUAAUCUUAAGAUGACUUGUUGCUAUUGCCUUCUGAAAACCAGAAACUUGAAAAGAUAGAUUGGAAUUCCAGAUGCUGUCUGUGAACCAACUCUAGAAUCCAAUGCUGUGAUCAUCUGAUCCAGACGCUGUUGUAACAAAUUCCAGAAGGAAAGACAAGUGCUCAAGAAAAGAUGAAUGCACAAACAAUCCUAAAUGGCCAUUAUCAGUCAACAUUUUAUCUUUACUUUCAUUAGUUAUAAAUGACUACGAAUCAGAAUUGAACCAUGUCAGUUAUUACCUGAUGACCUUUUCUAGUAGAUGAAAUUGUAGUAGCAAUGAGUUGAGUUCUAAACUAACAAAACCACAAGUCCCCACUAUUUGGGAUCAUAUGUGGAUUUUUUGUCAUCAUUGAGAGCUGAAAUCGAUUAAUAUCCAUGUUCAUGAGAUUUGACAUAAUUUUAUGCUAGUUGUCAGUGACUUAACAUAACCCUCCACCUUUUUCAUCCAAAGAUAGCCUUAUCCUAGAACAAUAUUCUAACUCUAUUCCUUUAGUUCUAAGCUAAAGGCAUGAAUUGAGAAAGAGAGAGAGAGAAUACUGUUCUAGGUUCAGACUAUCUCUGGAUAGUUUUGCGCUAGUUGUCAGUGACCUAACGCAAUCCUCCACCUUUUUCAUCCAAAGAUAGUCUUAGCCUAUAACAGUAUUCUAACUCUGUUCCUUUAGUUCUAAACUAAAGGUAUGAAUUGAGAAAUAGAGAGGGAGAAUACUGUUCUAGGUUCAGACUAUCUCUGGAUAUGAAAUACAAUUUGAGCAAAUUCAGCAUAAAAUCGAAGGUUUGUUGCAAUAUAUGAUCAAAGCAAUAGGCAGAACUUCUGUCACUUCUAUAGCAAGAAGAAGUAAAAGAUAUGACAAGAAGCAAAGAAAACCAAAAAGGAUCUGCAAAGCUAUUCAUUGAUAGUAGGACCCAAGGCACAAAAGUUUUUUUAAUUGCAUCAAAGGACCUAAUAUCUUUGUCCAUUCUCACAUAUUGAAAUUUAAAUAAUAUUUCUAAUAUUGAAUACUAAUUAAGAUUUUUCAAUAUCUAUCAUAAGAUUGGAUAUUGGAUAACACUUCAAAAUUUUCAAUAAGUCUUCGAUUAGGGAAGACCCCAAUUAUGACAAGGUAUAGAUCGAAAGCCCAUAUUGAGAGAGAGAGAGAGAGAGAAUUCUAGUUAAGUUUACAGCAUUUAUUAAAUGAAAUUAUUUAAUGUAAUUCCAAGAAAUGAAAAAGCUUCUGAAGAGUGAUUUUCAAUAUCUGUAUAUCCGUGUCAAAAGAAUAAAUCUUUAAAAGGAGAAGACUGGACCUUAGGAACCAGCCAUGUGGAACACCUAUGUAUAACGACAUCGUACAUAGUUUCCUUUGCUGAACUUCUGAUUCUUUUGUAAUCCAUGAUAGUGUCAUUUAUAACAUGAAAUGCUGCCUCUUAACAUGGAGUUCCUCGGGCAACUCUUUGCCGUUAGGUCUCUUGGAAGUAUUGUCUGAGGAGGUCCAGACUCUAGAGCAUCUGCAUAUUAAGACACAUGGUUAAUGCUGAACUGUCAUAUAGAAUAUAAAUUGAACUUAAGCUUUGAUCAAACAAAAGUUACUCUAAGGUUUCCUUUCCCUUCACUAGAGUGCUCUGGCCCUGCAACACAAGGCAUAGUAAAUCUGGUAAUCUGACAUGGAGGAAGGAUCAGUUAUUUCUUCAUACAAAAUAAUAUAUAGAGCAAAUUAUAAAUCCCUCCAGUUUUUAGGUUACAAAAGAAAAGCAUAACCCCAUGCCAUUCCAGGAAACAGCAUGGACUUCUAGACAAACAGAGAGUCCUUUCAGCUUUAGAUAAAUAGGCAAAUAGGAUGAAUGCUCAUUAAGUAACAGAAAGAAAAAAGCAUGUUGGUAUAGUUAUUGGGCAUUCAUGGCAUGUAACUUAACAAGCCUAUUCAAUCCAUGUCAAUUUACCUGGCAAUAGCUGGUCCUGCCUAGGAAGAGACACUUCUUACAUAUUGUUUGACAAAAAUAAUUUUGGGGACAUUAUAUAGUUCUUUGGUGAAAGCUUGUCUGAGACAAUGGUUGAUCAAACAAAGCUCAUAGUUCUCCAGAAAAGUAUAAUAGCUUUUAUACAAUAUGGCGACAAACUUCCUUUUAGAACCAAACAUCCUAAGAGUUACAUAUUUACUGCUAGAAAUGAGCAGGUACCGAUUCAUCUUGAAACACCGGCAUUGGUUCCUUGGGAACCAAAGUUCCAUAAUUACUACAUGCUUGCUGAUAGAAAAGACCAUUUGCUGCUCUCAUCUCUGAUUGUGCAUCAGCCUAAGUUGACAAGAAUUUGACAGCCCUCCAUGUGAACACACAUUAUCUGGCAGCUCAUUCGUGCAACAUAUAAAUGAGCCUUCACAAGCUCCAGUAUGAUUUCUAAGAUGACCAGAAUGGUAAGUGUCCACACUAUCUUGCAUAUCCUUAAACAUAGGAAGGUUAUUUUUAUCGGGAACAUCAUUCAGUGUGUUGCAUAAAGCCUUAACUUCAACAUCAACAAAAUCGACACAUGCAGUCUUAGGAGUGGAGCCAUCAUUUGUCACAGGAUAAAUGCCACCAUCAUCCUCGUUAGUAAUAGAUCUCAUAGAAGCAUUAGGUGGCGAUGCAUUGCCCUUAAGCAUCGUAAAGGAAGCAUCAAAAGAGUCUUGAGUUAACAACAUCCCUUCUCGGGCGCAAGGUGCAGUAUCAAACGCCAGGUGGUUUUGUGUGGAGUAAGCUGCACAGGAAGAUGAAACCACUUGAUUCUCCUCCAAACAUACUGAUAAACAAACAGGAACACUGCCUGAUGUCGAAAUAGAAAAUCCAGAUGUCACUACAGUUGUAUUGGGUGGAUAUGCCUCAGAAUUACAAUUUUCACUGAUAACUGAACUUGAGGAUGAAUUAGUACAGCCAGUGUUCUGCUCAACUUCAAUGCCUUGAAGGUCCAUCCCAGUGUCAUCAAUUGGCAAUAUUUUAAUAUGAUUGUCAACUUCUGGAGAAUCACUGAUAUCUUUCGACAGAGUCCUUGUCUCAUGUUUUGCAUUCUGAUGGACACACAUUUCGUCCUUCAUGCUAUUGAUCCAUUCUAACGGACCAGAAUUUAAAUCAACAUAUAAAUUAAUUCCCCCUUCUGACAUCACAAAGAAUUGAAGGGUAGGGGUUCUUGUAGAAAUUUCAUCAGAAGAUACAAACCCACUUUCCAUGGAGUAUUCAUGAAGUUUAUAAUGUUCACAUGGCAUAGGAACUGUAUUAUGAGUUUUAGUGUCUCUAAUAGCAUCAUGGAUCAGUUUCUGCUCUUCAUUUCUUGGUCUCACCAAAUUUUCAAAUUCACUUCUAAUAUUCGUUUUCUUGCACUCCAGACCAAGAAUUUGGGUUGUUCUAGUCUCUUUCAUAUCAGCAGCAACACAUCUUUUUACUCCCUUGUUACAAUGUUCAAAAGUAGAAUAACCAAUACUUUCAGUACCAUUACUAUUAGCAGGCCAUGAUGGACAUAAAGCAUUUGUAACAGUCUGUGGCAGCAACAAAAAACAUAAAUCUUCAUGGAAAAGUCAUUAACUGAGCAAACAAAAUGUCCUAAAUGAAAUUACAUGAAAAGAACCUAGUGUGAACUAAGAAGUACAAGCAAUCAAACACAAUUAUCUAUACCUUUCCUGAAGUUGGACUGACCAUGUGGUCAAUAACAUCUAUUUGAUUACCAGUAUGAUAGAAUGGUCGUUCAUCACCUCGAAUUUCAUUAAAACCUGAAGACAGUCCAUGUGUAUCAACCUUGGAAGAAUUAGCUUUUGGUUCUGAUACAAAUGAUUUUCUAGAAGAUCCAUCCAUCGAAUUAAUUGAAUUCUCCAACAAAGCUGCUGAACUGGCAUUUCUUUUCUGCAAAAAACAUAAGAAAAGCAUUUAAUAAAUUCAAACUAAACUGCUACCGAGUGUAUACGUAUAUCGGGGAACGUUAUUAACUCUUUAAUAAUCCACCUUAAACAGUGAUACCAGUGAGUUGGCUAGUUGAGCAUGGCUUCUAUUUGCAGGAAGAUCAUGCUGUUUACACAAUUUUUGGAGCUCCUUUCUAGACAUUGUGAGAUAGAAGUCCAAGUUAUUCUGGUAAUCCAUCAUCUCAACCUUCCACGCUCAACAGCUAAUCCCCAAUAAUCCUGCUAUUUUGUCCACUAAGUAAAAAGAAAGAGAAAAUUAAAGAAGUUGCAAUAUUUCUAGAAUACAUCUGUAACUGCAUACCAAAACAAGAAAAACAAAAGCAGUAAAUUGACCACAUAUUCUAAAGGAAGUGGAGGAGAGAAGAACAAGCAAGGUGGUUUCUCUUAGAUAAAUUGCAAGAGAUGUCAAAACAAAAACAAAAUAGUAUCAGUAAUAUUAACAAUAUUAGAAAAGAAACAGAAAAUGGGACACAGCAAUGUAAACUCAAAAGCAGGAGAAAACAGACAUGAAAGAAUACAUAUACUUAAUUUUUCCACUGCCACACAAGAUAAUGAUGAGUGCCAAAAUAGCACAAAAUUUCUGAUCAGAUAGUGAUAAGAAUUACCAGUGUUUGAGCAAGGUAACUAAGAUAGAAUGAACAUAAAUAUAAUCUGAUCAGGAAAAGCCUACCACUAUGACCAGGAUGUGUGAUGUGAUCCAUGGUGAAACUUUAUGACAUUUAUUGUUUGAGUGUGAGUUCGCCAAGUUUGAUUGAGAAAGCUAAAAGAUACUUGGACUUAUUUUAGAUGUUGGGUGCAUAUUGUAUUCCGUAAGUUCUGAAUUCAGAAACAGAAAGGGAAACACAGGUUGUUUCAUUUCUCUUCUGUUGAUGUUGGCUUUAUGUAGAGAAAGAAAUAGCAGGAUUUUCAGACUUGUCACAGAAUGUUGAGGAGGUUUUGGAUAGGCCUGUUAUGAGGUAAAAUUACAAUUUAACAAUCUGUAAUUGGCUGUACCUGAUUGUUCUUCAUCCUUUUCCCCCUUCAUUUUCUUCCUUUAUUUUCUGUUUACUGCAUUUUGUACAACAUUUUCUCUUCUUUUGUGCAUUUAAGAUCUUUGAAGUGAGUUCUGGUAGGGAUCUUCCCUUCAGCUUACCUAUUUUGAAAUGGGUUCUGGUAGGAAUCUUCCCUUCAGCCCACAUAUUUUGAAAUAAGUUCUGGUAGGGAUCUCCUUUCAGCUUUCCAUAAGAAACCGUGAAGAGGAAAAAAAAAUUCAACAAGCAUCAUUAGAAACAAACAUAAAAGCGAGAGAACAUCUUUGAAUUAAAAAUCAUAUUAGUUUUCUGCUUGAUCAAAUUGGCAAAAGAACUUAGUUUAGGCCCUCUAAUCACUAAGAAACAAGUACUAACGAAGAAGCAUAAUGAUUUUUGGACUAAUAAUUCUUAUUGUAAACCAAAUUGGAGUUUGCAAAUCUAAAGUUCAAGAACAUCCGAGCCUGACACAUUUUAUUCUCAUGAUCACAUCGAGAGGCUUUUAAGUAAUUUCAGGACACAACCAAUUUGUUCUCGACAUAGAGAUGGACCAGCUGACCCCGACAAUGAUUCCACUGUACGUAUCAGAUUCAUAAAGUGCAAGCAACAGACCAAGAAAAUACAAUAGAAUAGAGAACCUUCAAGGAAUUGAACAAAUUACCCAAUUUGCAAGUACAAUAAGCAAAAACGAAUAAUUGACAGCAUCUUUAGGAAUGAGAACGUGGGUCUUAGCAUCACGAUGAGGUUGUUCCUUUGCUGUAGAAUCCAAAGCAGGCCUCCCUUCAAGAUCCUCUUUGCGACCGAAACAACAUAACCAGUCAGUUUCCUGGUAGUGUCACAAUCACAACGAAAAAGAAACAAAGAGAACAAAAAAAAAUCCGAGUCCUUAUGGUAUCUUGGAAUUGACCGCAGCUGUUUUCCCAAUGGCAGCAACCUAAGAAGCCUAAAGGACUCAACUUGCCUGUGGAAUCCAAUAUCGCGUAUCGAGAAACAAAUCAAAGCAACCAGUAACUAAAACAGAAUCCAAUAGAAAUCAGACUGAAGCGCUAAGAAUCGAUCAUCUCAACAGACCCUAAUGAACAUCAAAACCGGAACACACCAAAGAUCGAACCAGACCUACAGAAGCGGGAAAUCUGGGAAGCAGAAAAAAAGGACCGCCUAGGAUUCGGUAGAGUAGAAAGCGGGUGAAGGUUGCGUCAGCAUGGUACCUCGUCAACACCAGGAACGCCGGAGCUCCGGUCGACCGCUGAGCGUUCGCCGAUGGACAAAAUGAUAAGCCGAGAGGGAGAGAGAGCACUGCAUUUGGAUUUGGGUUCGACUUCACCGCAUCGAGAAUGAAAAUUAACGGGUCGGAUUCCGGUAGCUUUAAAGUUUGAUCCGGCCCGUUUGAAAUCCCCCGUGCAUGGCCCGUUUCCUGACGCAUUUCCACUAAAUCGUACUCCCUAAAAAUAACGAGACUGCAUACGGCCAUUAAGGCUCAUUAAUAUUAUUAUUUUUAAUUAGACCGCUUAGCAAUAGAAUUUUUAAACUAUAAAAUUUUAUAUUAGAAUCUUUGUGGUCAUGAAAAUAAAAUAUUUAAGUUUAUUUAUCGUAACUAUAUCGGUUUUAUUAAUAAAAAUAUAAAAAAAAAAUAAAUAAAUAAGUAAUUUUAAUAUUACGAUUGGUAAUAACGGAUGACGUUAAUGGUGGUAGAUAAUGAUACCGUUGGAGGCCACGAGUAGUUACUGUGAACGGACGAGGAGAGUAGCAAUGAAAGAUAAGGGCCACUUUGCAUCUAUGUUGACGCCAAUGUAGUGAGCGACCCUUUUCACUGCUUUCCAUUUGCAUCGGUAUUGACACAAAUUGUUGAGUGAUAUUAUUUUUCAUCUACAUCAACACCAACAUAGUUCUCGAGCGGUGUCGCUCUAUAUCUACACCGACACCAACACAAAUGUAGAGCGACAAAAGAGUCGCCCGAUAACUAUGUCAACAUCAAUACAAAUGUAGAAUGGCUCAUCAUCUCUCAUUGUUGUCAAUAAUAGCCACCUAUGGCCCCUAGUGGCACUGUCAUUAGUCCACUGAUGUCAUCCGUCAAUACUAACUGAAACACUGAAAUUAUUUUUUAUAUAUUAUUUUUAUAUUUUUAUUGAUAAAACUGACGAUGUUAAAACAAAUGGAUCUAGAUGUUUCACUUUUAUAAUUACAACUAUAAGGAUUUCACCAUAAAUUUUUUAAAUAUAAAUAUUAGAAUACUAAGAAAGUCUAACUAUAAGAUUUAAUAUAUAAUUAAUCCUACAAUAUCGUCAUAAACACUUGAUAAUGACUCUUGAUACGUCCCGUAGAAAGCGUACACUCUCCACUUACUAGCAUAAUGUACUUUACGUUAUAACUCGAAUCUUCGUGGGUCGUCACUGGGCCGAGCUAUCACUUCUUGCAAUCUAAGAGAUCUGGUAAGAAUUCAUUUGGGAUAACAAUUCAUUUAGGUGAUAAUGAAUGCAUAAUCUAAAUUGAAGUCAGUAGUUUUUUAGCUUAGCUAAAGUGAUCUCCUACUUGUUAGAUCCAUUAAUGUGACCUAACAAAAUGCAGACGCAACAACUACCUUCAAUAUAUAAAACAUCCUUUUACGUUCGUUAAUGGAAACAUAAAAGGUUUCGAAGUAUCAUUUAUGGAGAUGUAACCUAUAAAAGCCAUCUUAAUGGAACAUUAGAUGAUAAUUACACAUGGGAGAAAACUUGGAACAUGCAAGUGGUUCGGCAGUACUUAUUGAGCCAACCAAAGCCAACACACUAUGAUCAUUCCAUCUUACCCACUCCCUCUCUCUCGCUUAUAUUAAUGGCUUUCCUCUCUUUCGUGUACACUACUAGCCGUAGCCCUUCAAACCUUCCUCUCUUCUCCUCUUGCAAUUCUAUCAAACACCUCCAAGAUGGUUACAGUGAACGGAGACUCCGCCGGCGCCGGCCUCAUCGUGAGCUUCGGCGAGAUGCUCAUCGACUUCGUGCCGACCGUGUCGGGCGUGUCGCUGGCGGAGGCGCCGGGGUUCCUAAAGGCGCCCGGCGGCGCCCCGGCCAACGUGGCGAUCGCCGUGGCCCGGCUCGGUGGCCGCUGCGCCUUCCUCGGCAAGCUUGGAGACGACGAGUUCGGCCGCAUGCUGGCGGCGAUCCUGAAGGACAACGGCGUGGACGACGCCGGCGUGUCGUUCGACGCCGGGGCGCGCACUGCGCUGGCCUUCGUCACACUGCGCGCCGACGGCGAGCGCGAGUUCAUGUUCUACCGCAACCCCAGCGCCGACAUGCUGCUCACGGAAGCGGAGCUCAACCUUGAUCUCAUCAGAAGGGUAGAUCUCUCCCCGGACACCACACUACUUUAACGUAAGAUUAUGCUUGGAUUCAUGGUUGGAUCUACAGGCCGCGAUCUUUCACUACGGAUCUAUAAGUCUGAUCACGGAGCCAUGUCGAUCCGCUCAUUUGAAGGCGAUGGAGGCGGCAAAGGAAGCAGGAGCCCUGCUCUCCUACGACCCCAACCUCCGGCUGCCGCUGUGGCCGUCGGCGGCGGAGGCCAGGGAGCAGAUCCUGAGCAUCUGGGACCAGGCCGACAUCAUCAAGGUGAGCGACGUCGAGUUGGAGUUCCUCACCGGCACGGAGUCGGUGGAAGACGAAGUCGCCAUGCGACUCUGGCGCCCGAGUCUGAAGCUCCUCCUCGUCACUCUCGGGGAGAAGGGAUGCAAGUACUACACCAAGGUACACAGAUCUGUGGCUCAAGUGAGAUCGAAGCCUUUCUGAGCUCCUGCUGACUUCGCUGGCUUUCUUGGGUCAAGGAUUUCCAUGGCAGCGUCAAGUCCUACGCCGUCAAACAGGUCGACACGACCGGCGCUGGCGACGCGUUCGUCGGCGCUUUGCUGGGGAAGAUCGUCGAAGACCAGUCGGCUCUGCAGGUAGAGGACAUGAGAGACCCUGUGCUUUGAUUCAUGUAUCAGGAAUGAGAUGCGUGUUGUGAUGGAUUCUGUGAUUUGUUGCAGGAUGAAAAGAAGUUGAGGGAGCUGCUGAGGUUUGCCAAUGCAUGUGGAGCAAUCACCACCACCAAGAAGGGAGCAAUCCCAUCACUGCCGACUGCAGCAGAAGCCAUGCAGCUCAUGGGCAGUGCCUAAGCCAUGUUUAGAUUGUGUUGUUCUUCUCUACAAGCUUGUUGCAGCUUCAUGAGAAUUUUCCUUGUUUGAGUUAUGAUCUUAUUUCCCUUCUUCCACCAAAUUCCUCUGGUAGCUCCCAUUUAUCUUGGCUACAUUGUGCUUAUGAUCAAUGUUACAGAAACUACUAAUUAAUGAUGGCUUUUAAAUGCUUUCAUUCAUGGCUAGCUGAUUCAUUUCACAUCAAGGCAUUGUGAAACAGCUUGAAUAUAUCACUCUUUGUCAGAGCAAAUCAAGCUGGACUGACAAGUAAAUGAUGCCAGACACUGAGAACUAAGCUAAGAAAGAUGAAAUGAUACAUAUCAUUGUGGAUAAUGAAGUAAAAAUGCACACCACCAAUACUCACUAUUAAGGUUUACUGCAAGCAGAGGUAACAAAUAAGCUCUUUUUUCUAGGGAGUGGCUGUUUCUGUCAACAUGAUUCCAAAUGGCUAUUUUGUGCAGGUUAUGUUCAUGAAAGUUCCAUAAUUCCUGAGUAUUUGCUUAAAAGAAAGCAGUUGAUGAUUGGGUUGAUAGAUGCAGAGACCAAGCUGAGUGCACAUUAUAUAAACAACUCUCUUACAUGAAUUCUACAUUGGAAGUGCACAAAAUGGAGUAAUUUGUGUUGCAUUAUCAAACAAUGACAUCGAUAAAUCAUGAUUGAAGAAGUCUCAGGUUUUCAACAAUAUAAUGCAAUCUAGGCCACAUUGCAAUGUUUGAUCAAUCUAAGCAGUGGUUGAGUUGGUACAUACCAUCUGAUUUGAGCAGUACAUCAUUCUUGGAUCAAUCCUCCCAACUAUCAGCAUGAUUUUUCUGCAAACAGCAAGUUUAUGAAAUGCCAAUUGAAGAUUGUGGUGGGCAUUUCAUGCUCACCUUCUAUAAGAUAAACUCCAAACCAGUUCUCUGUAACCAGUACCCACUGAUUCAUAGUAGAACAUAUCAGCAGCCAAAAAGAUUUGUUGUCAACCACAGUUGGGUAUUGGUCAAUCCACAAUCUAAAUCCUCUGACCAGAAUUUUACAUGAUUAGGAUGCAACAGAUAAGUUCAAUCCUCUGACCACAAUACAACCUUCCUUGCAGAGAAGUUCAUUCCUGGAUGGGUGGAAGUGCCCAUGAAGCCUCUAGAUGAAUGCAUCAAAGUAGUUAUAUUCCAUAAUUAUUUCGAGAAUUAAUAUGUGACAUGAUGGCAAUUGAUAUCCGACCUCGAUAUAAAGUUCUGCAUUGAUACAUCAUUGAUUCAUCAGAGUUUGAUGGAAGUUACUACAAAGAAAAAACAAAUAAAGCAUUUUUUUUAAAUGAUAUGCAUGUCUAGUUGCAAAAUUAUCUAUUUAUGACUAGGAAGCGCUUGAGCUGGUGGUUUCAGAAUCUGAAUUUUCAACAUCCACCACAGCAUUGAAUCCAAAUUCACUUCCUGGAGUAAAAGCUGCUUCGAGCUCUUCAGCUGUCUGGAUCGUUUUAAACUGGCUUUUCACCUUUAGGUUUUCCUAGUACCAUCAAACGUUAAGACAAUUUCAGCAAUUAAGAAUAUGCCAUACUUACGCAAAAUGUAAAACAUUAACAUGUGACAUGCCUUCUUCACAUAGUCUCCAAUUGUAAUACCAACAAUUUCUUGUAUAAGAAAUUUAGUUACACGGUCUCGCCCAAGCAUCUGUAAUAGAAAGCUCUUUGGCACCUACACCAAAUUUCAACAAACAAAAUUUCAAAUUAAUCCUGACUAGGCACACCAUUAUCAUAAAAAUGUCAAGCUUAAGAAUGAAGUUGCAUCAUGUACUAGGACAAGUGGGUCAUAUGAAAGAAAAAGGUUGGGAAAGGCUUCAAGACACAAAGCAAUGUGCAGUGGUAGCAAAUUCGUCAUUGCUAAUCUGCUUCUUACAAGUUUUAGAAGUUGAAAAGUAAAAAAGUAAAAAAGUAAACGAAGUGGGCUAAGCCACAAGUUAUUUUAGAUGGGAAUAUUUGCAUAUACAUGGUAUAUCAGAUGAUCAACAUUCUUUCCUCCAUAUCAUUCCCAACCUUAAGCUACAUUUCCUACAUAAUUUCUACAGCAAGAAGAGAUGAUAGCUUAUAACACAACUUACAAUAAACAUCUAUUAAUAUUUUAUUUCAGUUCUCAAUUGUAGGUAACUUAAGGUCAUGAUAAACAAGGCAUAAGCAGUAUUCCGAUAAGUACAAGAAAAUUCAAAGGCAACAUGCAGAAAUGCAUUGAAUGACUAGAAGAAGACCUGGUUGGAAGGACAAAGACUACUUACAUUGGAUGUCUUUCCUUGAAUCAUCCAGGAAACAUGCAGAAAAAUAUAUAUUUCGUCAGAACUAAGGCAUAAGGCAGAAAAGAACUAACAUGAAAACCAGAAAGAGAGAAUAUUGGAUGAUGUCACACAUUACGAACUUCAAGAAACAUAUCAAACCGCCAUAUCAGUAACCAAACAAACAGACCUCCUUUCAUUCUCCGGAAUCCUGGAAUUGGAGGUGCAGUGCGAGCCAAAUUUGUUAAGACAAUAUCAAAUGCCUUCUGUGUUUCCUCACCAGUUAAGUCCACUCUUACCUGAUAUAAUCAUAUUAAGAAGUUGUCACUGAGCAAAUGAACUAUUGAAAGUGAGAACUAGUUAGUAAAUAAGAAUAUAUAUUUUCAAAUAAAAAAAAGAAGAAAAAACUGGUAAUUUGCUCGCAUAUUCAACCUCCAUAUUUUUUACCACCAUAUCUUAUUAUAAACAACUACAAAGGCAUCAGUGUGGUUUCAAGGUUAGAAUUUUCAAAUAAGAUGUCGAGAAAAAAGAUUCUUAAUAGAAGAAAGAGGAUUCAAGAAGACACCCCAAAUAGGAAUAAGAUUCCUGUUGGUAUUAUUGUUAUAGCUAUAGCUUUAGCAUUUUUUUCAAAGAUGCUUAACACCUUUCCCCGUGUAACAAAACACAACCAUACCCCACAUUGUACUUCACCCAUUUCACUUAUCCGCAUAAUUGAUUGACAAAAUUUCUAACUUGUCCACAUGAUUAAGGAAAUCAAUUUUAAUCAUUUCCUUAAUCAACUACAUAAACAAAGAAUUUAAUAAUUUAAAUAAAGCAACAUAUUAUUUACAGUAAUUUGAUUUAUGUUAAGGGAAAAAAAUCAUUGGCGAUUACAAAGAGUAAGAAAAGGCAAGGAAGAAGAUUAAGAGAAGAAAAUUGGAAUUCUUUUCUCUUAUUUAAUCUGCUAAACAAUAGAAAUGCAUUCAAAGAUUGCUCUCUCUCAAGAUUAUGUGUUUUUCUCAGUUUAUGUCGAUGGUCUUGGAUUGGUGAGAGGCUGAAUUGUUCCCUUGUUUCCAAGAGCUAGUUUCGUGAGACCUACCCUUGUUUACAUGAUUUUGAUGGGGACUACUCUUGUUUUCAUGUAAUCCACUUCUGGCGACGAUACUUCUUGUUAUUAUAAGCCAAGAUACAUGUUAUCUUGAUUUUUGUUGAUCCUAUAAAAGUGCUCAAGAGGACACUGUCAUAUCCCAUUAUUUUCUAUGAUGGAAGGUCUGGCCAGAAUUUGGCCCCAUGGCCUUUCACUCUUGGAGGGUUUCCAUGUAAAUUUCAUGUCCUUUCUUGUGAUUUUCUUGGACUUGUAAAGCUUGUAAGUGGUUGUGCUAGCAUCUAUUCUUUUGUUCUGAUAUAGUCCACACAAAGAGGGGUGAGAAGAUCAUAUCUGACUUGUCAUUUGGUUGGUACUCCACCCCAACAGCUAAACAGCUUAAUAGUAUGCUAUCUACAAGUAGCAGGAGGAUAACAGAUCAACUUUGGAAAUGCAUAAACUUACUCUGAAGUAAAAUCUACGAACAUAUUAUGUACCUACUGAAUACAAAGAUCCAAGUCAUGAGCUCACAGUAAUCUUAUCAAUGUCACGUGACUCGAUGACUAUCUUAACAUUGUCCAAUCUUAUGUCAUUCUUUGACGGAUCAGAUAUUGAUGCUUCUAAACCUAUAAUCACAAGGAACUGUUAGUUAGAAUUUGUUCGAUUAAGCAACUCAGCUACCUUGCAGCACCAGAGUUGAUGCAUGAUUGAAGGGAAAGUUCACCUGGACCAACUGCAAAUGUGGACCAAGGGGAAUGCCUUAAGCCUCUUUGAUGCAAAAAUGUUAGGCUGACAAUAUUAAAGCGAUUAUUUGUGUUAGAAAUUGUAGAGAAGCAAAAAAUUCAUUUAGGGAACCAAAUGAAUCUAGACCAAUUUGGAAGCACAAUAUAAAGCAUGUUUUGCCUGAUUAGAUUUGGAAAAUCAAUAGUCUUCAUGUAAAAGCUUCUAGCUUGAUGUUGCAGGAUAGCACAACACUGUUGGUAGCCCCUGCAUAUUCAUAUGUCUUCCACAAAUACAAAGUAAACAAGGAAAAAUAAUUUAUUCAACAUGAUCCAUCCAUUGCUAGUCACAAUUUCUAUCAAUACUAAAACCAUCAAGUCUAUUGAAAGCGUAUUUCUUGUCUAACAUCAUUUUAUAAGGGAAAGUAUGUCCUACCAAAGAAAGGAAAUAACUUUACAACAUAUCCCAAAUCACUGGAAAAAGGAGAGCAGCAUACAUAAUACUGCAUCUAUCAAUUCAAGUAGGCACUAACUAGCUUACACAAGCUUUUGAAUGUUUGUAUAUCUUCCACAUAGAGAACAUCUUAAAUUCAUUAUCAACUACUUCUUUCUUUAGUAACUUGAAUCUGCUUACAUCUUCAUAAGACAAUCUUGAGAGGCACUAGUAUAAAGGAUAACCAGGAAUCUAUAGUUCUCAAAGUGACUACCACACAGAGCUUAUCUCUGAUGGUGGUACAUAAUUUCAUAUAUUUCGUCGAAUGAAAUUGGAGAUGGAUUAGUUGAAAAGUCCCAAUUGCUGCAGAGAAAUGAGUAGGAAGUCAAAAUGGAAGGUAAAGAUAUGACCAAUCAAUGCAUACGUCAAAAUAUAUCAUCUCAUUUCAGUCUCCAUGUCAAUCUAAACACGGAUGCUUCAAAUGCAAAUUAAACUGAGUAUUUUCCAGAAAGAAAACUAAAGCAGACUCCUUGAAAAAUUUAAUCAAAACAAUUAGCUUCUGUGCAUCAAAACCCUGAAAACAAAUAAUUGGUAACAGGAAAAGGAAACAGCUGGAGAUUUACCUUUGACCUUCCCAUACAUUACAAGCAGUAGCUCUUUCAGUUGUUCUACUUAGAGUGGCUUUCAAACUUAUAGGCACGAUCACCUGGAGAUUAAAUUGCAUCAGAUGUAGCAAAGAGACAAAUUAACCUACAUAACGAUUACGAGAUUAAACAAAAUCAACAAUAACAGAACCAACCAUUUAUGGUACUCAUUUAUAAUCACAAAGUGCUAAUAUAAGAUCAAAACUUCUUUUUUGGCAUACAUCAAGAGAACAGAAGCCAGAAACCAAAUGUUGUUAAAAACUAGGGUUUUCUUGAGAGAGAAUUGCAUCAAGCUCAUCUGAUUCUUCGUAAUAAACAGAAAAACAGAGAAAACUGGAAGCCAGAAAAUGAAUUGGAAUUACUCGAGAAAUUCGAGAUUUAUUCCGUUGAAGCGGAAGCUUCGGACCGACCGCAGUCAUCAUCAUUAACGCCAUGAUUCUCUGCUACAGAUCUCGAAAGCAACACGAAACAAGAAGAAGAAACCCUAAUUUUGAAUAAGAGGGCAGCCGCUCGAUCCCACGUUAUCCACAGUUCCAAUUGACAGAAAUACCCUUUUCCAUCACGAUCAAUUACGAGAAAGCCGUCGUCGUCAUUCUCAAAUUGGUCCGGCGGAGCACCGGGAGGAGGAGAGCUAUAAAAGAUUGAGCUUCGGGUUUCCGGACGGGAAUUGGGGGUUGGGGUUUCGGAGUGGAGGUGCGGGAACGAGAUGGAAGUAGCUGUUAGAACCCUCUGCAAUGGAUCCAGCCGAGGUUACAAAUGCUCUCACAAUCCAAUCUUUUCUUCCCAUAUCGUCUAUUAGGUGAACAACGUAUUUGAUCUUUGCUUCCGGUUUGCAUUGUUCUGAUCCGUGGUUGAACUGAGUUCUGACCAUGGGUUGCAACUCCUCCUUCAGGAAUUGUUUAGGGGAGACAAAAGGAUCAGACAAACUAUUCAAUGGGAUGAAUAAUGCCUGUAUGAAUUGCAUGCUACAAUGGUUAUAGAACAAUGGUUCUUGAAUGGAGGUGCUGCCAAGGGCCUUAUCUAUCUACGGCAAGAAGCUCAUAGAAUAGAAAUCUUUGUGCAGUGGAAAUAGAUUUAGAUUUAUAUUAAAGGUUAAAUAUUAGAGAAUUUUUGAAAGAUUAAUAAGCAAAUGCAUCAGCUUUUGGGUUCAAGUUCAUAUUGGUGAUGUGAUAAUUUUAGCCAUCACCUAAGAUUACAUGAUCCAAUGGGAUCUACAAAAAAAAUCACAUGUUACUUAUGAUUCAAGCUGUAAAUGAAUACCACAAUUAGUUUGGUUAUUAUCACAUCCCAUAAAAAUGGUUUCUCCCUUCCUUUCUCCAUCUGAACUCAUAGGCAGCCCAGCCAAGCAGGUCAAAAAGCUCACAUUCCUAUGGACAACCUUCCAGCUGAUGUGUCAUGAGGAAGAAAAAGUCAAUGUUGUGCAAAAGAAAUCACAUGCUGGACUUCUUCAAAAUAUAAAUCCAAUGCCUAUUUUAUCACAAUUCCUUUUGAAUAUAUACAUACACAUAUAUUACUAAUGGCUAUUGAGAGGCAAAAUUAAUCUUUUAAUGAAAGAAGAAGCCAGAUUAAAAGAUAUGUGAAAUCAAUUUUAGCAAAGCUCAAACACUUGCAUUAAGAGAGAGAUUAACCAUAAAUCUCACAUAGUAAUUUUUUUUACCUCCAAAAAAAAGAAAAAGAGAAAAAAAGGCAUUGGACUGACAAACAGGGAAAUGAUACAAGGAAAAGACAGCACAAUUACCAAUCACAAGGAGGUUAUAGAUGAUUUCCCAGCAUAAUAAGUAGGUUUUCUUUGAAAACACAUGUGAUCCAUUAAAUCCAAAACCACAUAGUUCCUUUGUAAGUGACAGAAAUAUUUAACUGAAAAUUGUCACCGAUCAGCCACUGCUCAAAAUAAGAUCUUCAGACUUCUUGGACACUCAAGCCUGCAACAUCAAACAAAUAAGAUCCUAACAUUAUUAUCGAAGUCAAACCAUCAGCACUAGAUUGUAUCUCAAUCAACUCAUUUAGUGAACAUGAAUUCACUGUUGUUGGGGAAAUAAGUGAUGUCGAAGAAACCAAGAGCUGUCUAUCAUUCUAAUUUCUACAUGCUUUACGCUCUUUACAGUUGUCCAUCGAUUAAUGCCUGUUAGAAAUGUACAAAAAAUUGCUUUGGUUUGUGCAGCUUUCAAACGAAUCUUUAGCAACCCUUAGAAUAGAUAACAAAGACUAGUAUGAACUGUGCAUGAAAUUGAGGCAAGUACUAUGUUGAUGCCCAGGCUCCACAAGCAGCUUUCACCUUAUCGCAUGAACAAUCCUAAAUAGGAUGCAGCUUACUCUAUCCAUUGGCUAAGGAUAACUCUUUCUGUCAAAUGAGGAUGACCAAAUUUCAACAUGGUAACAACCCAUUAUAUACAAUCUGAUUUCUCAACCAAUAAUGUAAACGAAUACUAAUUUUGUCUUCAAAUGAUCAAGACAUUGCAUAUCCUACAUCAGAAUAAUUUACAUAUAUAUCACACGAAUCAAUAAGCUAGCAGUAUAGCUUAGGUCUAGAUCUUGAUGUUACUCAGUAUUUCCAUUACUAUUGACAACAAAGAAUAUCAACUAUGACCUUCGAAUGUAUAACUUCUUUCUUAUAAAUUGAGAUUAUCUGUUAACAUAAAAGUCAGGGCUAAUUACAGAUUAUCCCCUAUAAUUAGAUCUCUUUAGCAUUCUGGUCCCUAUACUUAAAAAAUUUACAAUGAAAUCCUUAUAGUUAUGAAAAUGAAACAAUUAACCCUAUUUAUCCUAACGUCAUCAAUUUUACUGAUGAAAGAUACAACAUAUGACAGCAUGUGCAGGAAUGACACGAAAACAAUGGGUAAAAUGAUAAUUUCAACAUCUCAGUUACGUUUUUUUUCUUCUUUGUGUUAGUGGCGAACGACAACGCCAUUAGAGCCGCGAGUGGUUGAACGAUGAAACGACCAAUCAACAUCUGCAUCGACACUGAUGCAAAUGCAGAGCAACAAAAGGGGAAAGAAGGAUGAGGGAUUGGUCAAGAAGGGGGAGGAGGAGGAAGAGGAAGGAGAGUGACGACGAGAUGUGAGACAAAGGGAGAGGAGAAAAAGAACGACACAGAUGUCGACGUUCUGCAUCUACGUAAGCGUUGCUCGACAUUUGCGUUGGCGUCAACGCAAAUGCAGAAAGUCGAUAUCUCCGUCGUCCUCUUCCUCCUCUCCCUUUGCCUCACUUUUCAUCGCUGCUCUCCCUCCUUCCCCAAUCCCUCAUUCUUCUUUCCUCUUUCGUCGCUCUGCUUCUGCGUCGACGCUAAUGCAAAUGUCAAGCAAAGCUCUGCGUGGACGCCGAUACAAAUGUCAAGUGGUCGUUUCGUCACUCAGCCACCCGUGACUCCAGCGAUGCCGUUAUCCACCACCACAAUUAAAAAGAAAGAAAACAUAACAGGGACGUUGAAAUUAUCUUUUUACAUAUCAUUUUUAUGUUAUUCCUGCGCAUGUUAUCACGUAUUAUAUCUUUCGUCGAUAAAACCAACGACAUUAGGAUCAAUGACUUUAAUUGUUUUACUUUCAUAACUAUAAAUAUUCUAAUAUAAAUUAUUUAAGUUAAGGGACUGGGAUGCUUCAAAAAAAGUCUUAACUAAAUGUAGCCCUACAAGUCACGGCAAACGAAGGAAGAUAAUUAAACGAACCUGGGGGAAGAGAUUGCUUCAACUUGUCUGCCUUCUCAUAGUCGAACACACACAAUGUGUAGAGGUACUUGGCGCAGCGAACUUUGAACUUUACCACGUCCUUGCUCCUCUUUAUCUUCACCGACCUCGCAUCUUUCCUUCUCGCAGUGAGAAGGAAAUCCUUAAUCUCGUGGAUUUGCUUGGGCUGCAAACGAUCAAAAAGCCAUCUUUUACAGGCGUGCUGGCGCACUAUGGCUUUUCAGCCUCGAUUCAACCGAUUCCUCCAGGAAAACAGAAAACAGCAAUUACAUGAUACGACUCGAACAAGAAUCGUCAGUACAAUAAAGCUCAAACAAAUUCGACAUGCUAAAUCUGCUGAGACUACAAAAUCGAAAUCCUUCAAGAAAAUAUACACAAGGAUUCAAGAAAGAACGAAUCGCAAGAACAUGCAGCUAACUACUGCGUCAUUGAAGUGAAAACUGUAACGAGAAUGAAGAAUUGGCACGCUAAUCACACGAACAACAAGGAUCGAGUAGAAAUAUACCAUCUUGAAUUGCUUCGGUGGCCAACACGAGCUGCGUAAUACCGUUGCAACACGAGGCGCCGGGCUUUUAUUGUCGCCACGAGCAAACCCUAGUCUCCCGAACCUCAGCCUCGGUUACGUAAAUGCCCCUACUCUUGUGACUUUAUUACAUAAAUAACACGACUUAUGACGCGGUCACCCUUGAGUAUUUUCCGGGUGAUGUCACUCAUGAUGACAAUGAGACACUAACUCCGGGUUCCCACGCGUCAUCAAGUAGUUGCCACGGCGGCCAGGAAUUUUCCAAAGAGGGUUUCAUCCGUCCUACGUUUUCCUCGUUGCAAAGAUAAGUGAUUCACCCGUUAAACAAAUGCACGUUACCUAUAGCACGGACACAGUCAUGAGGAAUUCAUCGUUAUAUCACGGGCUAAUUAAAUAUCGUUCCUAUAAUUAGAUUUUUAUUACUAUUCUGAUUUUUAUACUUAAAAAAAUUAUAUUAUAAAUUUUAUAAUCAUGAAAAUAAAAUAUUUAGUUUCAUUUAUCAUAAUAUCAUCAGUGUUUUAUUGAUAGAAGUACAAAAACAAUAAGUAAAAAUAUAAUUUUAAUGUUUCAAUUAUAUUUUCAGUGAUGAUAGAUGACGAUGUCAUUGGAGAUUAUGGGUAGUUGUUGAAGAUGAAAAGGAAGAGCGAUAAUGAGAGAUAAGGUGAUGAUGCAUAUAUCUAACAAUAUAUGUUUGUAUCAAUGUCGAUGUAGAUGUUGAAUGAUUAUUUCAUCAUAUAUGUAUCAGCACUAACGUAGAUAUAGAAUGACAAAAAGAUUACUUGGUAUCUGUAUCGACAUCGAUAUAGAUAUAGGGCAUUAACAUUUAUGUUGUCACCUCAUCUUUCGUUGUCACUCUUUCUCAUUUUCAAUAGUUAUUCAUAACCUCUAACAACAUCGUCGUUUGUUAUUAUCAAAAAUAUAAUUAAUAUGUUAUAAAUUUAUUAUUAUUAUUUAUUUUCAUAUUUUUAUCGAUAAAACUGAUGAUGUUAGAAUAAAUAAAGCUAGAUAUUUUAUCUUAUAAUUAUAUAUUUUAAUAUAAUUUUUUUAAAUCCAAAGAUCAAUAUGGAUAAUAUAUAAUUAACCCUCGUAAUAAGCCGUGAGAGUAAUUACUUGAGCUUAGUAGAUGCCACGGCAACUAAAAACUUUGGGAGGAUGAUGCAAGCUUUUUCCCGGAGCCACGAAGGGGUGAACAAGAUUUUUCUGGGUGAUGUCACCAUCUGCGAAAAUGAAGACCAUACAUGUGGGUUGCGCUCAUGAGAUUACUGUGAGACCACAUCACCCCGAACAUUUUCAGGGGAGGGCUCAACUGGCUUUCGGCUCGGUCCAAAUUGACCCCUCGUCGGGCCACAAAGCCUGACGAGCGAUUGGCGGGAAAAUAUUUGCCAAACUUCCCUCCUCGCGCGCGCGUAGAAUUUGAUCGAACGGCAUCCGAUAGUUCGAUCUUCCAUGAACUCUCAUCAGACAACAUUAUCCGUUCGAUACGAAUCCACCUGGCACGAGCUUGAACACGCCAUAUACAUGCGCUUUUCUACCGCACUGCUCUCUUUUUCCCAUCAGUUUGCGAGUAAAGAGAGGAGGACAAAUCAACUCUCCAAAUUUGUCAAAGAGAUCCAACGAUUUUGAUCUGUAUUCUUCGUCCUGCGAUCGAUCUGGAGGUAACGUUUCCGAUCUGCAGAUCUAUUUCUUGAUCGGGAAACGUGGGAAAUGAGCUCGCUUGCGUUUGCUAAAGAUUUUUAGGGAUUUGCGGGAUUUCAUUGUGAAAUUUGUGCUAUUCUCAGUCUCUGUUAUACGUUAAUGAAUCAUCGAUUGAAUUUUGUUCUUCGUCUUUUGUCGCUGCUGUCAUCGAAUUAAGCAGUCCUGGAAAGGAUUUAGAGUGGACCAGGUAGUUUUUGGUUUUCUAGAACCUAAAAUUGAGCGUUCUGAAACAUUAUUUCUUCCGGAGUUGAUUCUACCUGUUUUUGUUUUGAUCGUGGUGCCAUCCAGUUUCAAGAUUUACAAUGGCGUGUCUUGGGUCCAUUGUUCUUGGCACUGAUCGAGCCGAGGAGUCUUAUAUCGCCAAUGUUGAUAGGGAUGCCUUGAUUUUAGACAUUGACCCAGCGAAAUCUGAAGCGAAUGUCGUUGUCAACAGAAUCCCUGAGUUCGAUGAGGAUUUGUUGGUUCUUGAUGAUAUCCCUGCUAAUGAGGCAAGAUGGAAGCUAGCAAACGAGGAUCGUGAGAAGGAAGACCACUGUACGGAUGCAACAGGCGUUGAUAUUGUUGCAGCAGAAAACUCGAGUACGCCUGUAGAGAUGGUUCAAGAUAGUUCCCAUGUCGAGGCAGUAACAAAGUGCAAAGCUGAAGUGGAAGAUGAGCAGAAGAGGGUGAAGAAGCUGUUGAAAAGGAAAAGAGCUUCUUUUGAUGGGAAUGCGAACUGUGAUAAUAAGGAAGUAUUGAUAACGAAGUGCCAGGGUGAGCUUGAUGAAUUGUUUGAGUAUCACAAGGAGGUUUCUGGUCUUAGGCUGCAACUAGAUGAUGGCGCAUAUCAUUCCAACAAUAUGAUGGUUGCUUAUUUGCUGGAAGAAAGUAGACUUCCAUUUUCCAAGUUAGUGGGGGAAAUUUAUGGGGCUUUGAAGGGAAAGAACGGGAUUACUUUGGCAUCUGUCCGUGGUAGCGUGCUCUUUGUAGGACAGAGAAUGAUGUAUGGUAUUUCUAGUGCAGAUGCGGAUGUAUUGGAAGAUGAGUCAGAGUCAUCCCUUUGGUGCUGGGAGGUAAUACCCUAUUUUGUUUAAUUGCUUUCAUUCAAUUAAUCAUUUGUAUGCACCUUUUUUGUGCUUACAUGUGAUUCUUCUUGAUGUUUGACGUUUGUGUUGAUCAGACAAGAGAUAUUAAGCUGUUGCCUAUUACUCUUCGUGGCAUUAUCAACAUCCGUCGCAUGGCUCGAAAGAAGAUUCAUGAGAGGAUUUCUGCACUUUCUGGUGAGAACAUUUGUUUUGAGCUUAUUACGAUCCACAGAUUUGUUUGUCUUUACUCUUGGUAACUUUUUCUUUUUCGUUAUCUAUGGUAUUCUAGCUUUUUACGUUGUGUGGAAAUGGAUUUUUUUUAGUCGUGGACUAUAGCUUUACUGUAGCAUACAGAAAUCAUAUCUUUUUGUUUUUACUUAACCUACAUAAAAACCUUUGGUCCUUUUACCCUGCGCCUAAAAUAUUUGUGUGCUCUUUGAUGGUUUGCCAUGGUAUGUACCUUAUUUUUUUCCUAAGCAAGUUGGCCUUAAGAUGAUUGCAAAUUAUCAUCUAAAAUUUUUCUUUUCUGGUGUCUGAUUAUCUUGAUUACCUGUAUCAUGCAUUAUAUGGUUGGUCUUCUAUUCUUCAUUUGUGGUAUCAUUCAUCUUAUGUUCCUUAUAUCAUUGCACCUUUUCUUCCAUUGUUCGUUGCCCAACAAGUGAAACGAAUGAAUAUGGAAUAACGUUUUAUCAUUUCAUUUAUUCUAUAUUAGGUUCGGAUGUUCAUAUUUAUUUCAUUAUAAUGUUUAGAUUUCAAGGUGCUUUUAUGUACUAUUUGUGCGUUGAUACCUGUAAGUUUUUGACAACCUUUGUGGAGAAUAAUUGUUUUCCUUUUUGCACUGAGGAGUCAGUUAGCUAAUUGUACCCAUACAUUUGACUCACUUUAGCGACAUUAUCUGCGCUGACGAGUCCUGAACAUAAAGGUGCUUAUGGAAAUAAUCUGAUGGAAGCAUCGAUCAAGCUUGGGAAGGCAUUAAAUAGGCAAGGGAUUUCUUCAUUUGUUGAAAACUUGACCCAGAAGUACUGUGCUGACAUGUAUGCUCCCUCUCCAAAUUUCCCUGUCUUCAAAAUCUCACAAUAUUUCUUUUAGAUCAACCCUAAACUAUGGUAAUUGCAGGGCUGAGAAAGGAGAUUGGCUACAACAAAAGGAAUUAAUGAAGAAAAUUGAGAAAAAUAAGCAUAGUGCAGAAAAGGAAAAGAAGAAAAUGGAUCGUGAGUUUCAGAAAGAGAACUUAAGACGUGUAAGUAAUGGAUUUUCUGUGACAUGGGUUGCCAUGAUGAUGAAGUACACAAGUUUGAAUAACUCUUGGUCUUGCAUGUAACACACUAAGACCAAAAGUCUAGAAUAUCUACUUGAGGAUGAAAAGUAUUACAAAAAACCCAAUACUGAUGUUUCUUAGGAUCACAUAUGGACAGAGCACUACUGUCCUAAAAGUAUGAGUUAAAUAGCUGCUAAACCAUGCCUGAUUAAUUAUCUGGAGCUGUUCAAUUAAUUUAUUCAUUGAAACACUAGCAAUGAAGCUUCACGUGAGCUUCAUAGUGUAAGCUACUUUUGCAGGAUAGGUUUCUCCAGGGGUGGCAAGCUAGCACUGAUUCCAUGAGCAGGGCCCUGCCAGUGGACCCCAAGGGCAUUGUGCCUAUCAUGCAUGGAUGAUCUACAUUAUAUGAUCUGUAGCCAACUGAGGGUUCGGUGAUUAGUAUUAUGUUGGGGUUAAUCUUAUUUGCAAUUAACAGACCUAACACCAAAGAAAUCAAGAAUAAACUUGAACCGACACUAUUAAUCCACACUAUUGGUUCGAGAUCUUAUGAAGUUUAGAUUACUGGCAGAUACUCUCACCAUUGCAAUUUUCCCUCGAUUUGCAGGAGAAAGAGCUUAAAAGGAUGCAGGAAGAAGCUGAAAGAGAAGAGAAGCAUCGUGAAAAAGAAGCAGCAGAACUGAAGAAACAAAUAAAAAGGCAGCUAGAAGAAGCUGCGAGGGAACGACGGCGCCGUGAAAAAGAAGAAGCUGAACUGAAGAAACAGUUUGCCAUACAGAAGCAAGCUUCUAUUAUGGAACGGUUUCUCAAGAGUAAAAAGAAUAGCAAUAGUUCAGAUGACAAAGUGUCCAUAAAGAACUCAUCCACUGAAACAUCUUCCAAGAACACAGGGAUCACUAGUGCAGUUACAUCAUCAAUGGACUGUGGCUUUUCCCAGGAAUGUAGCUUAACCACAAAGGAUCUGCGUGGGUUAGUAACAAGACCUUUCUUUCAUUUUUUUCUUUAAAACUUCAGUUUAUAUUUGAGUUGUUAAUUUUCUGGAAAAAUUUAUAAAAUUAUAUUAAUUUUAGAGUUGCCAUUCAGAUUAAUUUCUGAAGUGGCUUGAGCAAAUCACUAAUUAGAAAGUUCAUUUUUUUCUUAGAGACAAGUUAUGAGUAAGGGGAAUUAUUGUCUGUGAAAUAAAGAAAAAUGAACAGAUAUUCUUCUGACAAAUAAAGCAUAUAAUAACUAUGCAACAUUGUAGUCUUGUCUUGGUCUAGGAUGUCCUAGCAGACGUAUGUUUGGUUGCAAUCAAGGGGAGAUUCAGUUGACUACUGUAUCAUAUUCCCCUGGGCAUUAUAUCUAAGAGAACUGAUCAUGUAAAUAAUGCAGGUUGCAUAUUACUGGCUGGCAUAAGUUGGCUCACCUCGGCAGAUCCUGCCACUGGGGUGUUAGGCGCAAUCCCAAGAUUGAGUUGAUGAAGGAACUCAAGCUGCAAAGACCAUCCUUUGUAGGUGAAGCUCUUGAGAAAAAUGCAGCUCUGGAGAAGGAAACUUCCUCUCAUGAGGCCAAUAGCAGUGAAUUGAGCUAUGAUAAGCUUGACAAUGAACUAGAGUCUUUAACAAAUAAUAUAUGUCAAGAUGAUCUCCAUAUUCAACCAUCAUCAGCCUGGAUGCAGCAUAAGAAACUUUUGCAGUUUUGCCAAAAUCAUAGGCCAGCAUACUAUGGUACUUGGCGCAGGAAAAGGUAAGCCUUUAUUUCCUAAAUUUACCCUAACAUUUUUUUAUUUACAUUUCCACCAAAGCUUUGAUAUUCUUUCUUUUAACUGCAAUGGUGCUACCAUAGUGGUGUUGUUGGUCCGAGGCACCCAUUUAGGAAGGACCCCGAAUUGGAUUAUGACAUUGAUAGUGAUGAGGAAUGGGAAGAGGUACUUGUCAUUCAAACCUUUUGUAUCUGUUACUGAGAUCAACAGUCAUGACUUGGUAUUUGCUUUUUGCACAGGAGGAUCCAGGUGAAAGUCUUUCUGACUGUGACAAAAAUGAUGAAGAAAUUUUAGAUGCAGAAAAUUGUAAAAAUGAGGAUGACACUGAAAGUGAAGAUAGCUUUGUUGUUCCUGAUGGUUAUCUAUCCGAAAAUGAGGUGCAGAUGAAAACAGACUAUAAAUAAUGUUCUAUAUGUGUUACUUCGCUCAUUAAUUCUUCAUUUCCCAAACUCGUGAUUCUACUAAUUUUACUGCAUCUAUUUUCAUAUAUUUUGAAAGUUUUCUCUUUGCUAUUAUCAAUUCUGAGUUAUUUGUGAGGUUCUGACUUUUGUUAUUUACCUUUUGUGCUCCACUUGGAUAAGUGCUUUUCUUUUGAUAAUGCAUAUGUUUAUGUUUGAAAGCAUAUUUAUCCAACCUUGUAACCGAUCAAGCUUUUGUCACUACUAAUUGAAGGUAUUGAACUUCAAAAUGACUGCAAAAACACAAAUGCUGAUUUUAUUUUGAGAUUUUUAUUAUGUUGAUCUUUAUUAGCUGUGAUUUUGGAACUUUUAUGAAUCAUGUUUCAAUCUGGCGAAACUUGGACUCUGCUUCUUUGUAGUAUGAAUGAGAAGUUGCACAAGCAGCCUCUCUUCUACCAGUGUUAAUGUUGCAUGACAGUCUACUCUCUAGCUAAAGAUUGCCUUGAGUAGCAUAAAGUCGGUCAAGUCAGUUUGAGAGUCCAUCUGAGAGGUUCUCAGAAUUUGUUGGUUUGCACCCUGCUCCAUAAGCUUGAAAUGACACUUGGGAUGGGUGUUAACUACUUGGCUCUAUGUUGAUUGGUGUUUGUUCAGAUUCUGAAAUCUGUCUUUGCUUCCAGGGAGUCGAAAUGCAAAUCUCAUGUGAACCCACAGAGGAUGAGGCAAAAGUCUCAAAAUGUUGCAAGUCAGAGGUCGACAGUGAGGAAUCCAGAGCAUUGUUGCAGUGGCAGAAGAUCCUCUGCAAUUUGACUGAAAAGGCCCUUCGAAAGAGCCAUCCAUUGGUCAUUUCCAACUUAACUCAUGAAAAAGCUAAACUACUGAUGGCCGAAGAUCUUGCUGGCACAGCUAAAGUUGAGCAGAUCUGUUUGCGAGCUCUCUGCAUGCAGGCCUUUCCUGGAGGCUCCAUUGUAGACAUCUUAAAAGAUCCCAACACAUCGUCUGAUGAUCAACAAGUUUGCCGAUGUUCUAAAGAAAAUACUACACAGGGAGCCACUGUUGCAAUGAUAUCAGAUUUGGACUUGCCAGAAUUUGUAAGUAACAGAGAGAGAUAGGCAAACUUAAAUGACAUUUAAAUCUAGUUUUGUUCUAGUUUCAUCUUUUCCUUACUUUUCGGAACCCUUGACUGCAGGUUAGGCUGAUCCAGUCCUGUCCGCAUGGGAUUAAUAAGGUGGUUGAGGUGUUGCAACAGAAGUUUCCGACCACCUCAAAGUCACGAUUGAGAAAUAAAGUACGGGAAAUAUCCAACUUCGUUGACAGUCGUUGGCAGGUGAAUUCAUGUUUUCAUACAUGAUUAUGCUCCUGUUGCCGUCAUUGAAAAAAAAAUCAUGGUGCCUUCUGCUGCAACUUUCAUGGUUUCUGUUGGCUAAUUUGUAUGCACAGGUUAAGAAAGAUGUCUUGGAAAAGAUUGGCUUGUCAACCUCUCAGCCCCCUCCCGGUAUUAAUACAGUCAACUAUACUGGAUGUUGAGAAGAAACAAUCUAAUUUCUUUACCAUGUCUACAUUUCUUCAUCAAAUCAAAAUUUUAUACAAGCUUUCUCAAUCAGCAUAUUGUGUAGAUAUAAGUUUAUGGUAUGAUGCUGAAUUCUGAAUCUAGCUUGUUGGGUUAUGGUCUUGACAGAUAAGGAUUGGACAGGUACAACAAAGUACUUCUCCAAACGAUGCUUACCUCCUAAAGGGAGGCCCACAGAGAUUUCCGAAUCUUCUCAGUCAUCCUCAAAACUGAAGAGAUCAUUCUGUGGCCGGGAGAGAUCAUUUCCGAAUCAUCUGUAAGUGUUUGAUGUAUAUAAGUUUAUUAGCAAAUUCUUGUUCUUUCUGUGGCCAAAUUGUUUUGGCCUAUGAAGAGUACAAAAGAGAAUGACAUCCAUUUUGGUGGACACUAAUGGCAGUGGAUGCUAAUAAGAUGAUGUUUGCUAAUGAGUUUUUGUUGCUUGGAACACUGAGUGGGCCGAGCUUUGAGUUAGUUGUCUAAUAAGUAAAACAAUGUUUAUAGAUGUGGAAGAAACAAUUGAUUCGCUAUAAGAAUGUAGCUUCAGAUGAACAAAUGAAUUAGGCAUAACAACUAGCAGACAGUGGAUGAAACCCAGAAGUGAAUGGAAGAAGUGGCUUAAGCUUAUACUUGGAAUGGCCAUGGCCAAUCCUUGAGCUCCUCGUCGCUGCCCACGACUUUGGAGCUCCUCUUUGAGGCGGUGGCGGUGCUGCCUCCUUCGACGUAGGCAUGGUAACGCAGCAGGAAGGCCACAGCGAGGGCCACCCACUCCAGGCAGAAGAUGGCGAGGCCGAGGCCGCCGACCAUCUUGAGGAUGACUGCGCCGUCCUCCUCGCGGACGUAGGAUCGCAGCUCGACGAGGAAGUCGGGGGUGCGAGUGAAGGCGAGGACGGAGAUGGCGCCAUGGAAGAUGGCGGCGAGGACGGUGGAGGCCAUGUGGGCGGCGUGCCAGCGGGCGGUGGAGGCGGGGGUGGUGGCGCAGGCGGAGGCGGCGGCGACGGCGGUGAGGGCAUGGAGGGCGACCAGGAGGAGGCCGCAGGGGGAGGGAAUCAGGCGGAGGGAGAGGGUGAGGAAGACGCAGCUAGUGGCGGCACCGAGGAGGGUGUAGUUGCAGAAAAGAAACGCCUUGUGUGUGUGGCAGUAGUGGGAGGCAGUGGUGGCGCCCAUUGUAGAUGAAUUGGAGCACAGAGAAGCUGUGUUCUUGGUGUUAAGAGAGAGGUGAGUUGAGUCGAGGAAGGUAGAAGAUGGGGGAGAGGUGUGUAUUUGAAGG
rnacentral:lncRNA from 1 species